rnacentral:lncRNA from 1 species
AGUGUUUUGGUAAAAAAUGAAACCAGUAACCAAUGAUGGCCUGUUUUGUGGUUAACACCUAACUUCAUGGUGGGGAUGAGAUUGUGAGUGGGAUAAUCAAAACUCUGCCACAAGAGAGUGUUUGUCCCAUUGGAGUGAAGGUGUUGAAGAACAAAGUUGCCUGUGUCCAACAAGGUGGCCUUAGUGUUGUUGAUAGGUUGAGGUGGAGAAUACAGGAUUAUUGGCUUCCCACGUUGAGAUUCAAUUUUCAGCACGCCUGAGCGGUUAAGUGACAGAACUGCAGAAUCCUUGUCCACAGGUUGGUUUCUAUCACUCAUCCAAACUACAUAAUUAUUAUUUACAUUGGAUACAAACAAAUACUGGUUGUCACCAACAUCAACCCAACCAAAACCUAGACAAUAGUCGCCCUUUUUUGAAUAUAGUGGUCCUGUAUCUAAGUUCAGUGUAUCACCAGGCUUUAAACUGUCAUUUGCUGCUUCAACACGAAUACAAGUACUCCACCACAAGCACAAGCACAUGAAAGCAAGCACCUUCUGUAAACAUGGAAAUAGUAAUCUGCAUGAUGGUUUACUGAGUGAUGAGCUGAGAGUUAUUCUUUCUGAUACGUUAGAAAAAGAAAUGUAUAACAACAUAAAACUAAGUUGUAAAAUUAAAACCAGACACAUAUUGAAUCUGUCAGAAGCAUAUACUCACAACAUGUGAUGGAGGGUCAUUCCAAAUCUUAUUAAUUACAAGCUUCAGAGCUUAAAACUCCAACUUUGGCUUUGGAAUUCUGCACCAAAAAUGAAUAGCCUGUCAGCACAAGUUAAGAGAAAAGAAAAAAGCAGUAUACUUUAUUGCAAUUAUUGAAGUAAAGAAGAUAAUGAUAUUAUGGGCUAUUGAUCCCACAAAAAGAAAAAGUUAAGUAAGACUAAAGGAUUUUAUGUUUUUUGAAUAUUUAAAUAAUUUUUGUAAUAUUAUUUAAUGUAUAUUUUAAUUCCCUAAAAGUUUAUAUGAUGACACUUGUGUUAUAAAAAGUGUAUUCUUCUUACUUAUAAAUCAUAAAAAAAAUAUUAAUAUUUAUGUGUUUUUAUUAUUUUAAUGGUAUUGUAAAGUAAUGUAGCUUUGUCAUCCUAUGAUUAGAUAACGUUUGUGCCUAAUACGUUGUUAAUUUCAUAAAAUUUUGAGAAAUAUAAAAGUUGGACAGGAAAAAUUUAUAAACUCAAUGCCUUGAUAUUUUGGAUUUAGCAUGCUGUAAAUUUUACUUAUAUGAUUGAUUAGUGGUUCAUAAAUAAAGUUUCAUGUUCGUGCCGGUUGAUUCGAUUGUCCUAAUGUCUCCAACGACAAUCACACUCCCGAUUCUCUUUGCCUUGGUUCGUACUUUCCUUCUAUCAAAACACCUUGUACCUAUAAAGACAAAGAGGCGUCCUAGAAGCCGUUUGCACUCCGACUCUCAAGUCAAUACUGUGGCUAAGAAACAGAAAUGUAUGUAAUUGUUCUAGUCUCAAGAACUGCGUACCUCUUUAGUUGUCGGCGAUGCGGGCGGAGGGCGAAUGGAACCAGCGACGAUGCUGCCGUGUGGUGCGAUCGGCGGUGCAAAGGAGCACGUUCGUUGGCGACGAAAGGGAGGAAGAGGUUGUUGGAAUCACGAUGCGGUCGUGGCGAGAAGCAGAGCGGGGCAGUCACGGUGAGAAGCAGAGCGACAAUGUCCCGGGGAGCAGCGACGCAGUGGUUGUGUCACGAGGUGUAGCGAUACGGUGGCUUUGUCGAAAAAGGCAGCAACACAGUGGCUCUGUCACGGUGCGACCAGCGGGUGAGUCCUUUGCAGUGGUGCGGCACUGCGGCGAUGAAGAAAGGAAGAAGAAAGGAGAGGGUGAAUGAAGGAGUGAAGAAGACUAAAGGUGCAGAAGAAUGAAGGAGUAAAGAAAAUAGUGAAGGCGUGAAGGAGUAAAGAAAACAGUGAAGGCGUAAACGAGAGUGAAGGCAAGAUUUAAAAAUCUACCACUUAAAAAAAUCCCACUUACUUUUAACAACGGUUCAUGCUGAAAGUGUUGUUAAAAACCCCAGUCACUCUUAUAAUGACAAUUCAUGCUGGAACCAUCGUUGUUUUGGACCUACAAACACAAAAUAAUUACAAGUUUACCACCCUAUAUUUUAUAACGAUGAUUAUGUAAAAACCGACUUUUUAUAGAAUCGUCGUAUUGAUAUUUUAUACUAGUAAAAUCAUAAAAUAUAGAAAAUAAUAUUUUUAAAAAUAUCAAUAGUGUGUAACUGGUAUGCUUAAUAAUAACAAAUUAUUUAUAUUAUUUAUGAUCAAUUAACCUUAUCCUAAUUUAAAUCUGUAUAGACUGAAAAGAAAAAAAUUUGAAUAUUGUCCCAAGUCUGCAACGGGCAAUCUUGUCCCAAUACGAAGGAGUUCUUCACCCCAGUAGUAAUUCCAUAUGUACGCCAACAAAUUAAAUAUAAAGGAAAAUUGAAUCUAAUAUGAAAAUAGUUUAAUUAGAUUUUAAAUAUCUUAUGCAUUUGAUUAUUUUCAAUAAAAUCUUUAUUAAAAAAAAUUAUUCUACUGAAUGUUUAAGAUAUUAUUUAUUCUAUUUAAGUAUGUCGUCUUAUUUUUCUGUUAAGAGACUUCUUAUUAUUUAUUCUAUUAAACUUUCGCAAGUUAAAAGAAAUUAAAAAGAAGAAAAGUGAAUUAAUUGAUACAUUGAAGAUAAAGAGAUAAAAAUAAUAACUAUAUCACAUUUAAAAGAAAAAAAUUAAGUGAUAGAAUACAGAAAUAAAAACAAAAAUAUUUUAAAUACUUAACAAAAUGAUUUUUUAAUAGAAAUUCAAUACACAAAAAUGUUUAAAUUUAUAAUAUAUUUAAAACACUACAACAAAAAAUGUUUUUAGAAACUAAAUUUUUGGUUUCUAAAAUAAUAAAAUUAGUCACUAACUUAAUUAGAGACUAAUUUAGAAACUAAUAGUCUUAAGUGGCUAAAGUCAUGGUCACUAAUUUUAGAUACCAAUUUAAAUUCUAACUUAGAAAUCAAUUUAGUUACCAUUAAAUAAAAACCAAUUUAGUGACCAAAUAUAUAGAAACUAAUUUAGUGACCAAUUAUGUAGAAACCAAAUUAACAACCAAUUUCAUGGAAACCAAUUUAGUAACCAAAAUAUAUAGAAACUCAUUUAGUAACCAAAUAUAUAAAUACCAAAAAAAUGUUCACUAUAUUGAUCUCUAAAUAAUAUAAUUUAUUAAAAAAUAUUAUUUUAUUUACCUACUUUCUCUUUAAUAUUAUAUAUUUAUUUAUAAAUUAAAGUUUAUUAAUAUUUUAUAUUUAUUUAUAUAUUUAAGUUCACUAAUUUUAAAAUAAAUUUAUAAAGUUCGUUAACUCAAAUCUUUCAUAUUUUAUAUUUAUUUAUAACCUUUGUUGAGUUAUUGAAAAGAUUUAAUAUUUUUUAAUUAAUGGAUCCUUUUCACUGUAUCUCUUCAUCCCAAUGUGGCUAUUAUUCAAAGUUUAGUUGUUACAAAGUAAUGUUUACAUUCUUCAAAUUACUGCCACAUCCAUCAGAACUAUUUUUUUUGAACCUUUUGCCACACAGAAUGACUGUUUUUCUUCCCUUUACUACUGUGCAAAAAUUUUCUUCUGUUCUCAAUUUGCUUUUCAUGCUACAAAAGAAGAAAGAGGGAGGAAAAUAAAAUAAGUACAAGCCUAAAAAAUAAAGCCUCAAACAAAGAACAAAGAUCAGAAAUCACCAUGCACACGCAUUAUUAUUUCAUGAAUGACUGCAUUAGUAUGUAGACUAAAAUGAAAUUCAUAGUGUGAGUUUAUCUUUCCACUGUGUAUGUCCUCUUUUCUUUCUCUGCGCAAUAUCUAUGGCUAUGCAAAUGCAAAGUGUUGAACUUUAGAAUCUGUGACUGUCCCUGUUUGCAUCUCUAUCUAUCAUCUACAGUCGGUCACUGAAUACUCUUGACUAUAUUAUCAUAAUUCUAAGUACCAACUAUACACCGAAACUCAUAUUUUAGCAUAGGUUUGUUUGAACUCACUUUGAAGUGACGACAAAUCAAAAACUUCUUUAGCAUUAAUAAAGAAAAAAAGUUAACUAUAUCUAAGACUAACAUAAAUAAUAAAAUUAAACAAAGUUAAUUAUAUGAAAUCAACCAAAAACUCUCCAAACCACAAGUCCCUUGUUCAAAUUGGUAUCUUCUUACACGAUGGCCAUGGAUCAGUAUAAUAACUUUUGAGGAUAUCUCCAAUCCCAUUAGUUGCAGGGCAUGAAGGUAAAAAUCUGCAAAAUGACAUAUAAAUUAUCAUUAUUCCACAGUUUAUUAUUAAUUUGGUUGUCCUAAGAUACUACAACAACAAUAAGAGGGCAAUUUACUCAAAAUAUGAUUAAUGUGAAAGAAGUAUUUCAAAACCAAGCUUAACCAAUCUUCAGUAAGGAUUCUCAACACGUUAACCAAGCUUGCAAAAGGUCUCAUAGGCUGAGUUCAAUAGUGCUUCCACAAGCGAUUCCUGGAACUAAAAUCCAUUUUCUGCUAGUUAAGGAUACUAUAGCAGAGAAAAAAACCAACUCAGUGUAUCUUUUCACUCUUAACAAAGUACAAUAAUAUACAAUUAUGAAAGGUUUUCCAAAAUAACCUGAAGAGGCUUCGGUAUCACGGUUUUGAUGAAUGACCACCAUCUAUCUUCAACAACAGCUUUUAUAAGGCAACAUGUCCGCAAACCUUCUGCACCACCAAAUCGUCCAAAUCCACUUUGUUUCACCCCCCGAAUGACAGCGACUGAAAUAGUGGAAAUUGCACAAUACAACUUUAAUUCACUGGAAAUUAUAAUUAUAUGUAACAUAGGUUGAGUAGGUAACAUAUUCUGGCCAUUUGGCUAAAAGAACUGCAAAAUUAUAAGCCAAAAAACCAAAAAAAUAAUUAAAUGCUACUCAUACAACAUUCAUAAAUAUUGUUGCUUACAUUAGAAGUUCCUUUCAAAUAGGCAUCUUGCGGCAAAGUAGAUGUUACAGUAAAUUAAAAGCAUAGAUAAUAUCACUGCUACUAAUGUCCUUUAAGGUCAAACGCCUUCUAAGAGAUGACGAUAAAAUAGUAAAAUAAAUUUUACCUGACACAUGUAUGUUGCACCAAAAUCAUUAAUCGCAGCAAUCCCACAAUGUAUGACUACAUGGGAAAACACCACAUCACAACCCAAAUUUUUCAAAGGUUGUGAGAACGUUACAUAUACAAGUGAUGGUCUUCCCUCAAAACAACUAAGGACAUGAAGCAGUAAAUACAGAAAAGACCCCACAAGCCUGAUUUUAACAAUACUUUUAACUAGAAAGGUUUUCUGCAAGUGUAAGAGGAAUAUUUGAAAUUACACACUUAUUAUUUUGAUAGAAAAGCAUUGAUGAUGAAAUUUUUCUUUUUAAUCAUCACUUCCUCAAAUUAAUACCUUUCCAAAUUUUUAUUGAAUAGAAAACACAAGCAAGAUGACCUAAAAAGCUUUAGUAUAAGUGAACCUGAGAAUAACUAGGCUAUACAGAUCGUGAAGGUUUUGUGGAUAAGUGUCUCGAGGAAAAACAAUGUAAUGUGUAGUUAUUCAACACUUGCAACCACUACUACAUAGACUAUAUCAACAUUAUGACAAACAUGCACACCUGACCCAAUACAUGACCACCAACUUCAAAGUCCUUGCUUCAAUCGCUUGUUUCGCACCUUCAAUGUUCCCGACCUGUGAUAGGAUUAAAAAUACGAGUAAUAGGUUAGAUUCCAAUGACAAACGAUAACCUACAAUUAGCUUUCAACAUGACUCACAAAAGGGACUUCAUAUCACUUAAUUCACUCAACCUAUCCACUAGCAAUAUAAAUUUCUUCAUAAACACUAACAAAAACAAGAAAAUGAAAUACGUUUUUUCAUAUGCUAAAAUUGAUUUAUAUAUAAGUUAAUACCAACUCUUUGAAGAAGCUAAAUCUGCAAGUACUUGUGGAAAGUUUAUCUAAGCAUAAAUAAGGAAGGAGAAUCAUGAAAUAUAAACUCAGCAACGAUACAAGUUAUAGCAGCUGAGGGGUUCAUCGACUUCAAACGAAAUUCUAGUUUAAUUUUCUUUAAUUUGAAAAUAAAAUGGGCUAAGUCUAAAUCGAGCUAGGCAUCAGAAAACACAAGAACAGACUAAUUAAUUUGCAGAGAAAAUAAAAAGAAAACCAAAAUUAGGACAUCAUUGUCUCUUAGGAUUUGCGUAUAGUUAGUAACCUCACUUGAGGAACAACUUUGAACCCAGCAACGUGAGCCUUAUUUACUAAUUCCCUUGUGCAAUCAUCCCAGGAAAUUUGCAAGACUGCAACUUCUUCUUCCAGAAUGACCUUCAAAUUCUCCUCAAAAGCAAAGGCUAGAAAUCACAGCUUUAUUCAAGUAAAGAUUCAAAGUUCUCGUAGAUUCCUACAAAUUGAAAAUGAGAGAAUACAACAUGAGAACAGAAUCUAGGGUUUUAAGAUGGGAAAGAUACAUAGUGAGUAAAGUUGUGCGGGGCUUCCAUGAGCAAACACAAAAUUAAAGGGAAAAGGACGAGAAUGGAGCACGAAUCGAAACUUACGAUGAUAAACGUUGGUCUCCUUCGGAGGAGAGAAGCGCAAAGUGCGUUGUUGCAGAGUGCGUUGUGUUGCCGUGAGUGAGAUAUGAGCAGCGUUGCCGUGAGUGAGAGAUGAACAGCGUUGCCGUGAGUGAGAGCGUUGCCGUCGUGAAUGAGAGGGUUUUCGUCGUGAGUGAGAGCGUUGCCGUCGUGAAUGAGAGGGUUUUCGUCGUGAGUGAGAGCGUUGCCGUCGUGAAUUAGAGGGUUGUCGUCGUGAGUGAGAGAUGAGCAGCGGCGUUGCCCGUGAGUGAGAAAUGCCCAGCGUUGCCCCAUAUGAAGGUUGAGCAGCGUUGCCCUGAGACAGAGAUGAGUAGAAAAAGUUAAAGUGAGAAGAAAGAGAUAACAAAGUGAUUAAAAAUUUAAUUACUUUAAAAUUAGUAUCUAUAUUUAAAAUUAGUAUCUAAAUUCAAAAUUGGUAUCUAAAUUUAAAUAAUAAUGGUUAAAAAUUUAAGUAUCAAUAAUUGUAUGAUGAUUAGAAACUACAAAAUUAGUUUAUAAUUUUUAUUACUUUUAGAGACCAAAAUUUAGUUUCUAAAAUAGAUUAAAAGUGAAAAAAAAAUGGUUUCUAAUUACAUUUUUAACAAGAGACUAAAAAAUGGUUUCUAUAAAUUUUUUUAUUUUAUUUUUAUUAUUAGCUACCAAAAUUAUAGUAUCUAAUUAUAUUAUAAUUUUAUUAAUAAUAGAUACCAUUUUAGUAACCAAUAAUUUUUAGUUUAUAAAAUGGUAUCUAAAUUAGUUACUAUAGACACUAUUUUUUUUUUAGUUUCUAAAUUAGUUGCCAUUCAAUCAUUUUCUUGUAGUGAAACUUGGUAUAUUCUUUGAAAAAUAACACUAGCACGUUAUGAUAAACCCAGUUCUAUACAAAUCAAAAUUUAAAGCUAAUAUAGUAGUGGCAAUCAAUCAUAUGGGAGCAUGAACUGCUGUUAGGUUUCCGGUGGGGUGAGAUUUCUGAAUAUGGCUGACACUUCUUUCUUUUUCACAAAUUUUCCUGAACACUUUCGGGAGAGAGACUUAUGGAGGGUUUUUCAAAGGUGGGGAAGGGUGCUGGAUGUUUUCGUAUCAAGAAAGCUCAACGCAAGGAACCAAAAGUUUGGUUUCGUAAGGUUUCAGGGAGUGAACGACGUUGUAUCUCUAGAAAGAGAGUUGGAUGCAAUUUGGAUUGGUACAUGGAAGUUGCAGGUGAAUCUUCCAAAGUACCAGAGGGUGGAGGCUACAAGGGUGCAGAGAAAUGAGGACUCUAGGUUAGGUUGGCCGCCAAGGAAGAAAGUGACGCAUCCUAGGACGACCUAGAAUCGGGAUCGGACAGAGCAGCAACAGUCGUUUGCCCAAGUGGUUUCGGGGGAGGUAGCUCAGAGUGGGACCGGUGGGAACGUAGGUGGUGCACAGGGGGAAGAGGUUACUAAACUUACGAUGGUUUUAGAGCCUCCUUCCUGGCCUGAAGGUUGCUAUGUGGGUAGCCUUAAGGUGGUGCCUUGCAUGCAGUCGUUGAAAGAGAGCUUCGUCUUGGGAGGUUUUAGUCACGUCAGUAUAAGGCAUCUUAGGGAAAGUUAUGUGUUGUUGUCAUGUGUUGAAGGUGAAGGGAUGAACAAGAUUUUAACUGAAAAUAAAGCCUGGUUUGAUGAUAUGUUCUUGAUGGUUGUACCAUGGGAUGAUUCCUUUGCAGUGAAGGAGAGAUCGGUGUAGAGGCAUCCCGCUUCAAAUGUGGUGCAAUCAGUGCUUUUUCAGGAUAGGGGCGUUGGUAGGGGAGGUGGUGGAGAUUGAUAAAGCAACAGAAAAGAAAGAAAAGUUGGAAUACGCGCGUUUCCGGGUUAAAAUCCCGCUUAACAACAAAGUUAAAGUGGCGAAGGUUCUUAGCAUCAAUGGAGUUUUAUGCACGGUGUCGUUUGAAGAAGAGGCAUGUUUCCCGGACUUUUUCCACAAGAUGUUCAGCGGCAAAGGGGAUGGAGGAGGUUCUGAGGUGGAUACCGAGGCUAGCUCGGAGGAGGGAAGUGUAGGAGCAAGCCUAAGCGUUUCUGCGGGUUCCGAGUUCGAAGUGGCUAGAGGCGGGAAUGAAGGCGGCGAAGGAGGUGGAGGAAUGGAGGUCAACGGUGGUGGAGAUGAGGGGAACGAAGGGUCGGUCCAGGGCAGGCGGGAAUCAUUACUCCUAGGUAGGUUGCGCAAGCAAGGUGAAGGGGUGCCAUCUCAAGGUGCUUUAAGUGGUUCAUUAAUGGUGAAUGACUUUCUAGGAUCAAAGGUUGAAAGCGUGAGUCCACCUUUAAUGGCUGAAGCGUGUAUUCCCAAUAAUUCUAAGGCAACUACAGAAUGGGGCAGGAGGAGCAUUGAUGAAGGAAGCUCAUGCUUUGGUGAGCGUGGGUUACGAAAUAUAGAAGAGGAGUUAAUAGGGAGGUUUUCCGAUAGGGGUGGAAAGGGGUCCAACGUGGAGGGGAGUUUUUCAAGGGGUCUUGCAGGCUGUGGGUCCCUUAGGGUGUUUAAGGGAGUUAAUAAUGAAGGCACGGAAAUUUGUAACGUGAGUGGGAAGGAAGUUGGGUGGGAAUCUUAUGUGGAGGCAGGCUCACAACAGGCUUUAAAUAAAGAGGUAGGUGGAAAGGUUUUGGAAGGUUGCAAUGAUGCGGCUAACGAGGCUCUUGCAGAAGGAUUUUUGCUGGAACAUUUGGGAAGUAAGAGUUGGGUAGGAGAAUCAAUAAGGCCUGGAAUCUCUUUGGAGGUCUCGGAACUAGUUGGAGUAAAGGUGGAUGAAGAGGGCGAGGAUGAGAUACCAUUUUUAAACAGAAACUGAGAAAGUCACGGUUUGGUGAGUAGAGGGUCGAUAGAUGGUAACAAGAUGGAAGAAGCGGAGGAUACACAGAGUUUUGAGGAUCUAGUUGGAGAUAAGGUCGGAAAGCAGCUUACGGUAGACCAAGUUUUUUUGGUCCAUCAAUCUGGUAGUGAGUCGAAUUCACUAUUUGCUUCCGAUAGCGCAAUUGAGAACUGUAAUAGAAUUUUCUGGGUGAAGACGGAUAAGAAUGUAGCUUCCAGUGUCUGGGGAGUUGGGAAAGAGGAAAGUUUUUCGUUCCCAGGCCGAGAAGAAAUAGUUUUAAAUAGUUUUGUUCGUUGUCUAAUCAGGGUGGAGUAACUACGAGAAAGAUGUGGAAGGAAAGGAGAAAGGUAGUUAAUGAAGAUAAUUAGUCUGAAUAUAAGAGGGGCGAGAGGCGCAGUAAAGAGGAAUUAUGUAAGGGAUCUGAUCAGUAGGGAACAAGCAGAUAUGGUGUGUUUACAAGAAACAAAGUGCUCGGAGUUUAGUAGGGAGAAGGUGUGUCUUCUUUGGGGUACCAACGAAGUGGAUUGGGUGGAAAACAAAGCAAUAAAUAAAACAGGGGGAGUGCUUACGACGUGGAGUAACAAGUCGUUCCAGCUUUCCAGUUUCGUUAAUGGCAAAAUUUCACUAUUUUAGAGGGUUUUGGGAAGAGAGGAAAUGGUGCACACUUAACCAUUGUGAAUAUUUACUGCUCUGGCACUCUAAGGGAGAAGAAAGAGAUGUGGAACGAUGUUGGUGUUUUCAGACAAGGGCAACUUUCAAAGGCAUGGUGUAUCAUUGGGGACUUUAAUUCAAUAAGAAGGCAGGAGGAAAGGAGGAGCGUGACGUCGAACUCUGUCUACUCUAGAGAAAUAAAGGGUUUUAAUGAGUUUAUUGAAAGUUCAGAAUUGGCAGAUAUCCCGUUGGUGGGUAGGAAGUUUACUUGGUUUAAACCCAAUGGAUUGGUGAAGAGCAGAAUAGACAGGGUACUGGUUUCUAAAGAAUGGUUGGAUUUGUGGCCUAAUAGCCAACAAUUCGUUUUAAGCAGAUCGAUCUCGGAUCAUUGUGCAGUUAUGCUGAAGGAAGUCUCAGUAGGGGUCCGAAAUCGUUUAGGUGCUUGGAUGUGUGGCAAAAAGAUAGCGGUUUUAAGGAGUUUGUGAGAUCGAGUUGGGUUUCGUACAAGGUGGAAGGAAGAGGAAUUUUUGUGUUCAAAGAAAAGUUGAAAAGAUUAAAAGCAUAUUUAAAGGUGUGGAACAAGGAGGUCUUCGGGGAUGCGAAUCAGUCAUGUAAGGAAAUCCAACAGAGGUUAGACGAGCUAGACUUGCGCGAUGACGAAGACGGGAUAGAUGAAUCAGAAAGAGAAGAAAGAAAGUCCCUCUUUGCCAAGCUAUCUGUCUCUAAGUCUAAACAAGAGGCGAUUCUGUUCCAGAAAGCAAGACAAAGUUGGAUUAAGCAGGGGGAUCUUAAUACGAAGUACUUCCACUCUUCGGUAAAAUGGAGGAGGUCAAGGAAUCAAUUACACGGGAUUUUCGUCAAUAAAAAAUGGAGUGACAAUAAGGAUGAGGUGAAGAUUAAGGUAUGUGAGUUUUUUGAAGAAAGGUUUGCUAGGAAUGAUGUUUGCCAGGUCAGACUGGAUAAGGUCGAUUUCAAUUACAUCUCUGAAGCAGACAAUGAGAUGCUAGUUGGCGAGUUUUCGGAUGAAGAGGUGAAAGCAGCAGUUUGGGGGUGUGAUAGUUCAAAGAGUCCCGGUCCGAAUGGUUUUAACUUUGGAUUUAUAAAAUCUUGUUGGGACAUUCUAAAAGAGGACGUGGUGUUGGCGGUAAAGGAUUUUGCAGGUAAUGGCAGUUGGCCAAGAGGUUCGAAUGCGUCAUUUCUUUGUCUGAUUCCAAAAGUAGAAAAUCCUCAGCAGCCAGGGGAGUUUAGACCUAUUUCUUUAGUAGGCUGUCUGUACAAGAUCAUUUCUAAAGCGUUUUCCUUGCGUUUGAAAAAGGUGAUUGGAAAAAUUAUAGACGCUAGACAGUCGGCUUUUCUUAAAGGAAGAGGUUUAAUGGACAGUGUGCUAGUUGCGAAUGAGGUUUUGGAAGAAUACAAGAGAAAAAGGAAGAGUUGUGUGGUCUUCAAAGUCGAUUACGAGAAGGCUUACGACUCGGUGAAUUGGGAUUUUCUUUACUAUAUGUUUAGGAGGUUGGGUUUUUGUGAUCGUUGGAUUCAGUGGAUUAAGGGAUGUUUAGAGUCGGCUUCGGUUUUUGUCCUUGUAAACGGGAGCCCAACUAGGGAGUUCCUUCCUAGAAGGGGUCUUCGUCGGGGAGAUCCGCUAGCUCCUUUUCUAUUCCUCAUUGUAGCAGAAGGGUUGGUUGGGGUGGCAAGGGUAGCAGAGGAAAAGAAGUUGGUCGAUAGUUUGGAGGUUGGGAAGGGUAAAGUAAAGGUAAAUAUGUUACAAUACGCAAAUGAUACUUUGUUUUUCUGUGAAGCUAACGUCAAAAGCAUGUUUAACAUCAAGGCGAUUUUGCAAUGUUUCGAACUUUCUUCUAGGUUAAGGGUUAAUUUCGGGAAGAGUAGGAUUGGUGGGACGGGGUUGGACCAGGGAAUGCUCCAGCGGUUUGCAUCUAUUCUUAACUGCGAGACGAUGGCUGUCCCUUUUAUAUACUUGGGUAUGCCAGUCAGAGGGUGUCAUAAAAGAGGGGAUUUUUGGAAUGGGGUGAUUGAGAAGGUACAGGUUAGAUUAAGCAGAUGGAAGGGAAGAUGUUUGACGAUGGCUGGGAGGGUUUGUCUGAUCAAGUCCGUGCUAUCCUCUAUUCCGUUAUUCUAUAUGUCUUUAUUCAAAUUGCCCUCGGGGGUGGCUGGAAAGCUGAUUCGGUUGCAAAGAAGCUUCCUCUGGGGAUGGGGUGCAGAAGGAAGGAAGAUGGCUUGGGCCUCCUAGAGUCAGGUAUGUAUGCCACGCAAGUUUGGGGGGUUGGGGGUAAUUAAUGUAAGGUUGUUCAACUUGGCUUUAUUGGGGAAGUGGAUUUGGAGGUUGGGGUCGACCGAGAGAGGCCUUUGGAAGGAGAUCCUCGCAUCUAAAUAUGGAGGGUGGAGAAGAUUGGGAGAGGAAGGAAAAGGUAGGAGGUGUUCUCUAUGGUGGAAAGAUUUGAAAGAGGUGUGGUUCUCGGAGGGUUGGGGGAGAAGUUUUGCAGACGGUUUCAAGUGGAAUAUAGGGGAAGGGAAGGAUAUACUUUUCUGGGAAGAUAGAUGGUUGAAUGACGAGUCUCUAAAGAGUUCCUUUCCAAGGUUGUUUUCUAUUAGCUCUUCCAAGAAUGCUAAGGUGUCAGAGCUUGGCUAUUGGUCGAAUGGCGAGUGGGUCUGGCAGUUGUCUUGGAGAAGACCGUUUUUUUGAGUGGGAGAAGUCGUUGGCGGAGCAGUUGUGUCAGCUUCUGCUAGAGGCUCGAGUUGUUUCGGGAGAGGUGGAUGGUUGGAUCUAGAAGGGAGGGGUUUCCCAAUCUUUUUCGGUUAAUUCUGCCUAUAACCUUGUUAGAAAGGAUAAAGAGACAAUGUUUUCGCCAAUUUUUUGUAAGUUGUGGAAGAGCAAGGCAAUUCCCUCUGCAACUCUCAUGGCUUGGAGGCUGUUGGAAAACAAGCUUGCUACCAGGGUAAAUUUGAGUAGAAGAGGGGUUUUGGUGGAUAGCUCGUUGUGUGGUUUGUGUGGGUUGGUGGAAGAGUCUUGUUGCCAUUUGUUCUUCGAUUGCAGUUUUGCUAGGCGGGUGUGGGGAUUGUGUCAUAGGUGGCUUGGGGUUUCGGUUGCGUCCCAAAUCCAGCCAAAGUGUAAUUUUGAUCAUUUUAGGUUGAGCUGUGCUUCAGAAACGGUUAAUAAUGUCUGGACCACAAUUUGGGUUGGGAUAGUGAGCGAGUUAUGGAAGCACAGGAAUAACAUUAUUUUUAAUAGAGGAGUGGGGGAUGCUUCUGAAAUUUUUUCUUUGGUACAAGUAAAGGUCUGGUUGUGGGUUUCUGUUAAUUGUAGGUCAACCUCGUUUUCCUUUUCUGACUAUUGUUUAGAACCUUUGGUUUGCAUGAUGCUAAUUACCUAAGUUUGGCUUGUUUAGUAAGUUUGUAGGUUUUAGGCUGGUAUGUGUAUAAGGGUUGAACCAUCCCUGAAGUGGUUCCUAUUUAUUUAUUUUUUAUUAUCGAUAAAAAUAAAAUAAAUAAACCCAGUUCUUUGGAGCUGCAGAUCUUCUCAAUUGAACCAGUAACAUAGCCAAUAAGAAUACGACAAAUUAUAUAUAUAUAUAUAUAUAUAUUAAUUUAAUAUUUUUUUCAGUAUCUUAACCGGUUGAGUUAGUGAUUUAGUUUUUGAAAUAUUUGAAGACAAAAUUAUUGAUGAGUCAAAGAAACUGAGACAAAUAAAAAAGAAAGAUUCAAUUAUUUAUAUUUCAUAGCUUUAUGGUAAUGCGCUACCCUUUUGAUUGGUCUCACUUUUUGAAGAUGAAUUGCUUUUCUGUUUUAACUUUUUCAAUACUGUACUCAUUGUAAGAUACAAAGAAAGUAUUCAUUGUUUAUAUAAGAGUAUAUAUAUAUAUAUAUAUUAAUAUAAUUUUAAUUAUAAUAAUCUUUUAAUUUAAUAAAAGGACAUCCUAUACGGUUGUCCACACCCAAGAGAACUACCUCAAGACAAAUUCACAAUAUAGAAAUAUGUCUAACACUGUUAUGUAUAAUUUUUUCUCUUUUUUUACCAAAAAGACAAACUUCUGCUCUCUUUAAAAUGUAACAAACAUUGAUUAAUUGAUAAUUUGAAGUCAAUUCUUUUUUAUUUUUUCUAAAUCAGUACAUAAAUAUUCAGGUAGAAGCAAUUGUUUCUACUGUAGAAGAGGUAAUUUGUACUGUAGAAUCAGUACACAAUUCAAAGGAAGAUAAAUUUUCAGGAUACAUAUACCUUUGAACAUAGAAUGUUGGUCUUUGAGGUAAGGAUACUAUCGCACUCUUGUUUGUUAAUCUUGAUAAAAUUUCACUCAUUGUGGGUCGAUCAUUUGCAUAAUGAUCAACACAUAAGAGACCAAUAUGAAUACAUCUUUGCACUUCCUCGUUUAAUGAUAGAUCCACUAAUUCAAAAUACUUGUCAUCUUUCCAUAAUUCCCAUACCUGUAAGUAUUUACUCAAAUUAGACACAAAUAAUAGUAUCAUGUCAAAUAAACAAACUUACCAAUGUUAAUUUUACAUACAUGUCCAACUAGAUUCAAAGGAUGGUCAUCAUCAUAAAAACUUGUGUUUUUUCUUCCACUAACUAUUUCAAGCAACAACACUCCAAAGCUGUACACAUCAGACUUAAUAGAAAAUAUAACCACUACAAGAAAUUUCACAUGAGAAAAUAAAUUUUAUUUAUACAUGAAAAUUAUGAAAUAUAAACCAAUUUGUAGAAACCAAAAUAAUUAGUUGCAAUAGUAACUAAAUUAGAGACAAUUUUAGAAACUAAAAAAAAAUUUGGUUUCUAAAUUAGUUUCUAUUAUUUUAUAUUAUUGUUAAAUAGUUUCUAAAUUGGUAUCUAAUUAGCAACCAAUGUUUUUGCUACCAAAUUUAGAAACUAAAUAAUUGGUAGUUAAAACCUUAGUUGCUAAUUAGAUACAAAUUUAGAAACUAUUUAACAAUAAUAAAAACUAAUUUAAUAUACUAUUUUUUUUUAGUUCUAAAAUGGUCUCUAUUUUAGUUGCUAUUAUAACUAAUUAUUUUGGUCUCUAAAAAUUGGUUUCUAUUUCAUGAUUUUCUUGUAGUGUGUCCUGCCAUCUUUGACAUCCUCCUUCUGUGUUGUUGUAUCCAUAGGAACCACCGACGUGUAUGGCUGUCAUAUUCAUUUUAUAAAAAUAACUAUGCAUAACAUUCAUCAUAAAUUUAUAAAUAAUUGGUAGUUAAAAUCUUGGUAACUAACUAGAUAUCAAUUUAUAAACUAUUUAUCAAUAAUAUAAACUAAUUUUGAAAUUAAUAAUUUUAGUAGUCUCUAAAAUAGUAUUUAAUUUAGUCAAUAUAACAACUAAUUAUUUUUAAUUUUUAAAAUUAUUUUUUAUUUAAUGAUUUUUAAUAAUAUAUAUAUAUUAAAAAAAUUAAAAUAUAACAAUGGCUGGUUGUUAAAUUAGAAACUAAAUAAUUCGUAGUUAAAACCUUGGUUGCUAAUUAGAUACCAAUUUAAAAACUAUUUAACAAUAAUAAAAACUAAUUUAGAAACCAAUUUUUUUUAGUUUCUAAAAUGGUCUCUAAUUUAAUUAUUAUUGUAACUAAUUAUUUUGGUCUCUAAAAAUUGGUUUCUAUUUCAUAAUUUUCUUGUAGUGAAAGGAAUAUUAGAAAGUUAUGACAAUAUAAAAAGUAUAUAAAUUACAAUUUCAAUAGCUGUUAAGAUUUAUUUAUUUUUACCUGUUAAGAUACAAAAUAUUUUACUACCACUUGCACGGGAUAGUGUUUUAUUUUUUCCUUGUUUGGAUUGUGUUAUAUUUGUUUAUAAUAGUUAAAAAUAAAUAAAAAAUUAUAAAUUAUCUUCAUUUCAGCAAUGUAAGUCAGAAUAACAUAGAACAAUUUAGAAUUUCUGAAACUCGUGUUGUAGAUAUGACCAACCUUUUCUGUUGGAAAGAAAAAGAAAAGAACUUUUAGUAAAAGAAAAGAAAAGUACCAAUUAUCUUUACUAAAAUAAUUGAAAAAGUAUGGAUAAGUUGCUUACUCGGUGUUAGAUUGUAUUUUUGAAGGUACAUGUUUUAUAAAAUAAAAGGUUCGUUUCUUUAUACAAGGUAAAAUUAUUUUAUAAAUAAAUUAAAAGUUAUAUUUUACAAAUAUAUAAACUAUGUUUGAUUCAUAAACAAAUUAUUAAAAAAAAAAUUAAGAUGUUUGCACAUGAUAUCAAUAUAAAGGGAAACACAUUAUCAAUGGCCGACAUAGAGGAGCCAAGGAUUUUAUUACUUGGAAAGGGGAUGUCAAGGGGUUUUUUAGUGAAGUCAUUAGUGAAGUCAGCAUAUUCUAUCUUGGUCGACCAAAGAAAUGGCUUGGGUAAUGAUGUUUUUAAACUUCUUUGGAAGGCCAAAGCUUUACCAAAAGUUUUAAUCACUGCUUGGAGAAUCCUUUUGGACAGAAUUCCAACCUCCAAGAAUCUUAUGUUGCGAGGUGUAGAUAUGAACUCCCCUCUCUGUGCUUUGUGUAACCUCUUUGAGGAAUCCACCCAACAUCUGUUUUUGGACUGUGAUGUGGUAUAUAGAGUGUGGAUGUUGUGUUUCAGAUGGAUAGGUAUCUUGGGAGCUCAAAACAAGGACAUAUGUAAUCACUUCCUGAACUUUCAUUUAUCUAAUAUGUCCGAAAAACAGAAUCAGGUUUGGAAGGGAGUGUGGGUAGCGAUAGUACGUUGUAUAUGGGAGCACAGGAAUAAUGUGAUCUCUAGACAAAGGGUUCCUGACUCUGAGGAAAUCCUUCAAGCUGCUCAGUUAUUGUCCUGGCUAUGGUUGAAACACAGGGAAAGUACUUUCUCUUACUCUUUCUCCGACUGGUUAUUGAAUCCAAUCCAAUGUCUCCUGUGUGUAAGAUAAGCUUAGCCCGGAGCAUAAGGGUUCAUACGUUUAAAGUCAUGUUUUGAGUAUGCAGGUAUCUUUGAGGGGAUAGCAUGUUGGUUAUCAACCUCGGAGAUAGGUAGGGCUGGAAUGUAUGUAGGAGUUAUUGAAGAUUGGAAAUUUUCCCUGAAAUAUUGAUUAUAACAAGGACGGUUUAUACAGAGUUCAUGGUGGAAGUGUUCUCUGUUUUAAGGGAAAGAAUUUCUGGUUGUUUGGUGGUAUUAUGGUUCUAUUAUGCAGGGUACUAGGCCUAAUAGCCUUAGAAGUAGUUGGUUGGCGCUUUAGAGAUGGAGGAAGAGUCGUACGUGCUUCUCUUCUAUUCGGUGAAGUGUAGAACUACACAAAGCAAUUUGGGGUCUGCUGCUGAAGUUACCAUAAACAAUAAUGGAAGCAGAAUGGAAGGAAUUGGUUUGCUAAUAUGGUUGAAGGAAAGCUAAUAAGGAUGCAGGGGAUCUGGUGCUGGGUAUGGUUAUGAAGAAAAGAAUAGAACACUUCCAAAUGAAUUCUGCAGAUGGCCAUGUAAGGGAUUGGACAUUUAAGUUCGCUGCUGGGUCAUGGUAGUUAACAAUGCCAAGACACUACAUAUCAGUAAACUUAUAUGUGGAAGGGAGAAACUGAGCUAGACUUGAGUUAUCGUUAUGGUCAAAGAAGCUUGGAACAAAUCGGGUGCACCAUGAUGGUGAGUAAGGGAGGUUUUAAGUGUUAGACAAAUAUCUCUGUUGGGUAUGGUGCUGGGUAUGGCGAGUGAAUGAAGUGUUACUGGAGGAACAUUUGUAGUGCCUACAAAUGCAGUUUUUAUAUGAUGUUACCUUGGAAAAUAGGUUCAUCUUUCUGAUAUCUUGAGCAGAUGUGGGUGAUGCCUGGGUGGGUUGAAAUGUACAAGCCGCCUGUUUAGCUUUUCACGUGAGUUGGUUGUGCUUUUUAGGGACCAACCUUUUUUAUGCCUAAUGGAGGAACUGGACUCUGGAGCAUGUUUACUGCUAUAAACUCAAGCUUUGUUGAAAAAAUUAGGCAUGCAACAUCUUUAUUUUUAUUUUUAUUCUCUUGUUGUAAUUGUUGUUUAGACUUGUUGUUGCUGGUUCUGUAUAAGGGUUGGGACACCCCUGAAGUGUCCCCUUUAAUUUAUUUAAUUCUUUGCUGAUAAAAAAAAAACAUUAUCAAUGGUCGACAAAACUUUUUGUGUUAUGGGACCUAUAUCUUUCAUUUCCUUUUGCUUUUGAGUAAUCUCUUCUCUUCAAUGAUUGAACUUUCAAAGAUAUGAGAUAUCAUUUUAGCAUGGACAAGUUUAACACUUUUUUUCUCACAAUAGGAAAAUUAUGAGGUCACAUUUAUUAGAGGCCCAUUAUAAUUUUAAAAGAAUUAGUAUACAAAAGGAACUUUAAAUUAGAAAUAGGCUUGAGUCUAUGUUUUUUUCUACAUUGGGUUUAACUUUACUAAUUUUAGUUUUUAUCUAUCUAACAUAAAUUUCUCACUGUUUUGUUUUUAAAAAUUAAACAAUUUUGAGUUUUUGUCAACAUGUAUAAUGCCACUCAACAUUAUUUCUAAGGUUAAUUAUGUGCGUUUAGUUAUGAAAGUCACGUGGAGGGUAGGGUUUCAUAGCUGUUUUUGGGAAGCUUAUCAAGUCUAAUAUGGAUUGUGCGAUAGUAAAUGUGUAUCUUGCGUGCAAUAUGAAAGAUAAAUUGGCUUUAUGGGAGGAUUUCUCUGCUUUAAAAGCUACAACUCGGGAUCAGGCGUGUUGUCUCAUUGGUGAUUUAAUUGCAGUUAGAAAUCCUUCUGAGAGGAGAGGUAUUAGAGAAUGUGGCAUCCAAAAGUGUGAGAUCCUUGGCUUCAACGAUUUCAUUGAAAGAAACUUUUUGGUGAAAUUGCCUGUCGUGGGUAAGAAGUUUACGUGGUACAAGACAAAUGAGUCAGCUAAAAGGAGAAUCGACAGAGUUCUUGUUUCGGAUGAGUGGCUACAAAAGUGGCCUAUGGGCAAACAAUAUAUCUUACUGAGGGAGGUCUCGGAUCAUUGUGCAAUCAUGGUCAAAUCAGUGGUGAAGACUGGGGGCCGAAGCCUUUCAGGUCUUUAGAUGUGUGGUUGAAGGAGCCUGGGUUCAAGGAUAUGGUGAAGGAAAAAUGGAACUCUUAUCCUCGUCACGGAAAUAGUAUGUUUGUGUUCAAAGUUAAGAUGAAGUGUCUGAAAGCUAAUCUUAAGAGGUGGAAUAGAGAUGUGUUCAGGCACCUAGAAUCAAGAAAAAAAAAGGUUCUGAAGGAGAUUGAGGAGCUAGAUGGUCAAGAUGAAGAUGAUGCCCUACCUGAGAGUUUGAGGAUGAGGAGAGUGGCCCUCUUUAGUCAUGUAGAAGAGAUUAAUAAAAACUUGAGUCUCUUUUCAGGUAGAAAGCUAGAAAUAAUUGGCUUGCGUUUGGAGAUUCUAACUCCAAGUUUUAUCAUUUUGUAAUCAGAUGGAGGAGGCUUAGGAAUGAGGUUAAGGUGUUGAUAUGGGAGGUGUGUGGUGUGAGAAGCCUGAGGUUGUUCGUAGGGAGGUGCUGAAGCUUUAUGAAGCUAGAUUUUCUACUUCUCAAGAUUUUGAAGCAUGAUAUUGUAGCUGUUGUUCACCUCUUUCAGGAGACGGGAGGCAUCCCAUAAGGGUGUAAUGCGUUCGUCAUUACUCUUGUUCCUAAAGUGAAGGACCCUAUAAGUAUAGACCAAUACAUGCCAAUUUCUCUGGUGGGCUCGUUGUAUAAAAUUAUCACGAAGGUUUUAUCUUGUCGUAUUAAGAAAGUGUUACGUAGGGUUAUAGAUGAUUGCCAAUUAGCUUUUCUAUAGGACAAAGGGAUGCUAGAUAGCUGGGAAGUGCUGAAGCAUGAUAUUGUAGUUGUUGUUCACCUCUUUCAGGAGACGGGGUGCAUCCCAAAAGGGUGUAAUGCAUCCUUCAUUACUCUUGUUCCAAAAGUGAAGGAGCCUAUAAGUCUAGACCAAUACAGGACAAUUUCUCUGGAGGGCUCGUUGUAUAGAUCGUUGUAUAAAAUUAUCACGAAGGUUUUAUCUUUUGAUAUAAAAAAAGUCUUAUCUGAGGUUAUAGAUGAUUGCCAAUCGACUUUUCUAAGGGACAGAAGGAUGCUAGAUCACUACAAGAAAAUAUGGAAUUACAUACCGCCAAAAUCCGUAUGUAAGACCAAAAAUCCGUAUGCAAAACAUAGUUACAUACGGAUUAUAUACAAGCAAAAAUCCAUAUGUAAAACUAUCGUUGGUAAGUCUUACAUACGGAUUCUAGAUCCAUAUGUAAUUACAUACGAAUUAAUUUGUAUAUAAUAUUCGUAUAUAAAUACAUACGGAUGUAUCUAUAUGUAACAAUAUUUAUUUUUUAAAAUUAAAUUUGUAAUGCACUUGAAAGUUACAUAAAAAGAUCUGUAUGUACGAAUUUUUUAAUAUUAUUAAUAUUAAUAAUAUUUUUUGUUAUUUUUUUAAUAAAUUUAAAAUAAGUUAUAUACGAAUUUUAUGAGUUGGUGGAAGGGGUUGUAAGAAUGGAUUUUAGCAUAUAUGGUUGCCCACGCCCAAGAGAACUACCUCAAGACAAAUACAUUAAGUAAAAAUUGUGUCUAACUUUGUUAUCUAUAACUUUUGGCUCCUUCACCAAAAAGAUGAAUUUCUGCUUUCUUUACAACUUAACAAAUAUUUUGUAAGUGAUUUUUUUAUCAGCAAAUAAACAUUUCUUUAAUGAUAAUCUCAAGUCAAUUUCUUUUUAAAUUAAUAUAUAAAUAGUCAUCUUAAUUUCUUUCUAAAUUAGUACAAAAUAUUCAGGUAAAAGCCGUCUUUUCUACCGUAGAAGAAGUAAUUCCUAUUGUAGAACCAGUAUACAAUUCUAAGGAAGAUAAAUUCUCAUCAUACAUAUACCUUUGAACAUAGAAUGCUGGUUUUUGAAGUAAGGACACUAUUGAACUCUUGCUUGUCAAUAUUAAUAUAAUGUCACUCAUUGUGGGUCGAUCAUUUGCAUAAUGUUCAACACAUAAGAGACCAAUAUGAAUACACAUUUGCACUUCCUCAUGAUCAAAUACCUCAUUUAAUGAUGGAUCCACUAAUUCAAAAUAUUUGUCAUCCUUCCAUAACAACCAUACCUGUAUGUAUUUACUCAAGUUAGUUACAAUAAUAUAUAAGAUCAUGCCAAAAAAUCAAACUUACCAAAGCUAAUUUUACAUACAUGUCCAACUAGAUUCAAAGGGUGAUCAUUGCCAUAAAAACUUGUGUUUUUUCUUCAACUAACUAUUUCAAGCAACAAUACUCCAAAGCUAUAUACAUCUGACUUUGUAGAAAAUAUUCCUUCCAUAGCAUAUUCUGGAGACAUAUAACCACCGCAAGAAAUUUCACAUGAGAAAAUAAAUUUUAUUUAUACAUUGAUAUAAGAUAAAUGUAACUGAGUUUAGUAAGCUCACUAUGUCCCAACAACCCUAUUCAUAUUUGAUAUCAAGUCUUGAUGAGUAAACAUUCUAGCCAUUCCAAAAUCUGAUAUUUUUGGAUUCAUAUUUUCAUCAAGAAGUAUGUUACUAGCUUUCAAGUCUCUAUGAAUGACUUUGAGUCUUGAGUACUUGUGAAGAUACAAUAAUCCUUGAACAAUCCCUUUUAUUAUGCUGAAACGCUUAUUCCAAUCAAGUAAUUUGCUUCUUGUACAAUCUUCUCCAUGUUCAUAUAGUAGUGAUGUACGUUAGAAUGUAUAAUAUAAAAAUGUAAAAAACGAAAGUGACUUUUCUUCAUGAAAACUUGAGUAAUUAUAGUAAAUCUAUUUGAGAAAUAUCCUUAUUCACCUACAUAAGAAUAUAAUGUUAAUAAUAAUAUUAAUUAUAACAUUAAUAAAUAUUAAUAAUAUAAAUAUAAUUUAUUUUAUUUUUAUUAUUAAUAAUAAUUAUAUUAAUAUGUAUAAAUUAUAUUAAUAUGUAUAAGUAUAAUAAAAAUGAUAAUAUGACCAAAGAACUUGUUUGGUCUAGUGGUCAAUGUUUUCCCGGGUCACUGGAAAGACUUGGGUUUGAAUUCUUAUAACAUUAUUUGGGGCUUGAUAAAAAAUAUAAAUAAUGAUAAAUAAAAAUUAGAAAUAAAUUUUUUACAUUGUAUACGGAUAAAUCCAUUUGUAAUAUCCGUAUGUAAUUACAUACGGAUUUUGAUGGUAUGUAAUUCCAAUUUUUCUUGUAGUGAAAAAGGAUUUUAUAGGGUUAGAAGAUUUUUUGCACCUAAACCAUAAAAUAAAUAUACUUUAUAACCAUUUAUAAUAACAUAAUAAUAUUUUAAAUUAAAAAUAAAUUAAAUAUAAUUAAAAUAUUAAUUUAUUAGGACUUAAAGUGUGUAUGUUAUUCUUCAUGGUGUUAACGUAUCUGCACCCGAAAUUAUUGAUAGUCAAAGAAAGUGAAACGAAUAAAAGUUUUGUCGGCCAUUGCUUUAAGAAAGAUUCAAUUAUUUAUAUUUUAUAGCUUUCUCAUUUUUUGAUUGAGGUUAUGACCCAAUCAAAUUGGAGUCUCCAUUUUUGAAGAUGAUUUUCUUUCCUGUUUUAACUUUUUCAAUAGUGUACUCAUUGUUAGAUACAAAGAAAGUAUUCAUUGUUUAUAAAAGAGAGUAUUUGUUAAUUAUUAUUGAUUUUUUUUUCACUUUAUAAGAAGCUUUAUAUAUAUUGAUUAUUAUAUAAAUUUUUUUAAUUUAAUACUUAUAAUCUAAAUAAAAAAAUCAAUUACUUACCAACUCCAAUAUAUAAAUAAAUUCAUAGAUAAUUCAGUAUAUUUUAUUUUAAAUUUUUUAAUUAUUAUUUAAUUCUUUUUAUUAUUAUUUUUAAUUAAUAUUUAUAUAUAUUAUUUAUGUCUACUUUUAGAAUUAUUAUUGACAAUUGCUAUACUAUUAUAAUUAUUAUUAACUAGCGGAAACAAAGUAUCCGCAUUUUCUUCUUUUGUUCAAUUUCUACGAUGAUAAAAAUUUAACAUACAUACAUAAAUUAUUUUGCAUUAGUCGAAAUUAAAAAACAAAAAAUAACAUGUAAAAAAAUGAUGAAUUGUUUCAUCAACCCUUUUUUUUCCCUAUGAUUUGAGUUUCUUUUCUUCAAACUUUUUCUUUUCUUCAAUUGGUGGUAUAAAUAUUAGAAAUUAAAAAUUAGAAAUAAAUUACAAUGAGUGAGACUCGAAACUAAGUAUUUUCAAUAACCAAAAAAACUUUAACCAAUAUUACACCAACCAAAUUUUGUUGUCAUGUUAUGCUUAUUAUUAUAUUAUAAUUAUUAUUAUUUAUUAUUAUUAUUAUUAUUUAUGAAUAUUAGUUAUGAUUUUAUAAUUAUUUAUAUUAUGAUAAUAUUUUUAAUAUUAUGUAUAUAAUUAUUAUGAUUGAUAUUAUUUAUAUUAUUAAAAGUUCUAAAAAUAUUAAGAUUAUUUAUAUUCUUAAUAUUGUUAAUAAAAAUAUUUAUACUAAUAAUUAAUAAUAAUAUUGAAUUUACUUUUAGAUAUACAUUCGAGGGUAAAAUUUGUGGAUAAUGUAAAAAUUUACUUACGAAUAGAUAUCUGUGGAUAAUAAUCUGUCAGUAAACUGAAUUAAUCUACGAAUUCAGACUCGUAGUCAUAUCUUUAAGUAAUGCUGAAUUUAUUUAUGAAUUCAAAUUCGUGAUAAAAGUCCAUCGGUAAAUCUGACUUUGUUAUCGAUAACUUUUGGCUCUUCACCAAAAGGACGAAUUUAUGCUUUCUUUACAAUCUAACAAAUAUUUCUUAAGUGAUUUUUUUAUCAACAAAGAAAUGAUUCUUAAGUGAUAAUCACAAGUCAAUUUCUUUUUAAAUUAGUAUAUAAAUAUUUAUGUAAAAGUAGUCAUUUUACUUUCUUUCAAAAUCAGUACAUAAAUAUUUAGGUAGAAGUAGUCAUUUCUACUGUAGAAGAAGUAAUUUCUACUGUAGAACCAGUACACAAUUCUAAGGAAGAUAAAUUCUCAUUAUACAUAUACCUUUGAACAUAGAAUGCUGGUUUUUGAGGUAAGGACACUAUUGGGCUCUUGCUUGUCAACAUUAAUAUAAUGUCACUCAUUGUGGGUCGAUCAUUUGCAUAAUGCUCAACACAUAAGAGACCAAUAUGAAUACACCUUUGCACUUCCUCGUGAUCAAAUACCUCAUUUAGUGAUGGAUCCACUAAUUCAAAAUAUUUGUCAUCUUUCCACAACUCCCAUACCUGUAUGUAUUUACUCAAAUUAGAUAUAAUAAUAAUAUCAUGUUAAAAAACGAACUUAUCGAACUUAAUGUUACAUACAUGUCCAACUAGAUUCAAAGGGUGAUCAUCGUCAUAAAAACUUGUGUUUUUUCUUCCACUAACUAUUUCAAGCAACAAUACGCCAAAACUGUACACAUCAGACUUCGUAGAAAAUAUUCCUUCCAUAGCAUAUUCUGGAGACAUAUAACCACUGCAAGAAAUUUCACAUGAGAAAAUAAAUUUUAUUUAUACAUUGAUAUAUGAUAAAUUUAACUGAGUUUAGCAUGCUCACUAUGUCCCAACAACCCUGUUCGUAUUUGAUAUCGAGUCUUGUUGAGUAAACAUUCUAGCCAUUCCAAAAUCUGAUAUUUUUGGAUUCAUAUUUUCAUCAAGAAGUAUGUUACUAGCUUUCAAGUCUCUAUGAAUGACUUUUAGUCUUGAGUACUUGUGAAGAUACAAUAAUCCUUGAGCAAUCCCUUUUAUUAUGCUAAAGCGCCGAUUCCAAUCGAGUAAUUUGCUUCUUGUACAAUCUUCUCCAUGGACAUAUAGUAGUGAUGUACAUUAGAAUGUAUACUAUAAAAAUGUAAAAAGCAAAAGUGACUUUUCUUCAUGAUGCUCUGCCUAGGAAAACUUGAGUAAUUAUAGUAAAUAUAAUUGAGAAAUAUCAUUGUUCACCUACAUAAGUUUUUGGAUAGUUGCAUGAUAAUGAAAACAACAUUUAUUUUUUUAACAUCCUAAACAACAGAUAAUUAAAUAAUGAUCAACACAUUUCUCACCGAAAAGAUAGAAAUCUAAGCUUUUGUUGGACAUAUAGUCGUAAAUUAGAAUCUUCUCUUCUUCAUGAAUGCAACAACCAAGUAGUUGAACAAGAUUCAUGUGCUGAAGUUCGCAUAUAAGUGUUAGUUCAUUUUUAAACUCAACCAUUCCUUGUGUAGAACUUCUUGCAAGUCUUUUUAUAGCAACUUCCUCUCCUGUUGGCAAUGUUCCCUAAAGAAAUGAAAACAAAAAGGUCAUUAGUCCUCCGAAAUAAAAUUACCAACACAUAAGAUGAGUAAUUUGAAUCACCUUAUAAACUGGUCCAAAGCCUCCCUGUCCUAACUUAUUCUCUGAUGAAAACUCAUUUGUAGCUGCCACAACCAAUGUAUAAUCCAAUACUUUUAAACCGUAUUUCUUAUUCAAAUCAUUUCCUAAAUCUUCGAUUAGACUCAUUUCUUUCCUUUUCUUCUCUGUUCAGAUGACAAUGAUCAAAUAUGAAAAUAUAGUGAUCAAAUUGUUCUUUAACAAUGAGUUAGAAGAAUGUAAGUACCUUGAAGCACAUGUUUUCGUUUCUUUAUUGCCAGGCAUAGAAUGGAUGCGCAUAUUAUGAGUAAAGUAGUUGCUAUUCCUGUACUUAUCCAUAUCCUCCUUUUAGUACCUGCAUUUGCAUACAACAACUCAAAAUCUUCCAAGUAUGAAUUAUUAAUUUUAUGGCUUUAUAAUGUUUUGCAAUGCCAUUUUUAAGCGUUGCAGCCAAUGACUUAUUUCCUUUUCAAUUUGGAGAUCAAAGACUGCUAAAAACAGAAAUUUGUUUUGGUGCAGUUCCCUAAGAUCCACAGUAAAGUUGUACAAAGAAAGAAAUGCUCAAGAAUUAUGCACUCUAGAUAAAGGGUAUAUUUGAAUUUAGGGUAUUGGAAUCUUUAGACUUUGCUCUACAUAUUUUAUGGUGUGAUGGGAAGCAUUAGAAAUGAAACUUCUUUUUGUCUAUAAAGAAAUGAAAUGAAGUUGGCAUUAGACAUACCCUGAUGAUGAGGAAUUAUGUUCCCUUUGUUCUCAAGUAAGUAAAUGUCUUCACCCGAAACAGUGGCUUCAACUAUAUAAUCUUUUGAUGAAUUCCAAUGAUAGAACAUACAUCCACUUCCAUCAUUAGAGAAUUCUUUGAAUCCAUUGCAAUAACAAUCGCUCCAGCAAGCAGCCUCACAAUCGCUGUAACUAAUAUUCUCAUUCUCGUCAGCUGUUACGUUUUGAUAAUUAGAGCGAAGAAUCUUUUUGGUAAAGACAUCACCAGGAAUCCUGCAUUUAGGUAUAUCCUGCCAUCUUUGGCACCCUCCUUCUGUGUUGUUGUAUCCAUAACACAGAUCAGCUCUUGCAACGUCUCCCUCGUUGUAAUUGCAAGAUAACUGCCCAGUAUCCGAUAGGAACCACCGACGUGUAUGGCUUUCAUUUUUAGAUGUGAAGGAGAAGGUGUCUUCAUCCCCAUUGGACACUAUGCUGUACUUCAACACGCCUUGUGCAUCUUCUGGGAUGUUCUCAAAUCUAUUGUUCCUCACUUUCCCACUUUUCCAACAAACUUUUCCUCGCCUCCUUAUCAUCAGUUCUUGUUCCCUCGGUUCCCAUUCAAGACUAAAGGCACCUCGAGUCGCACUCCCAUAGGUCAACUGCGAAAAAAGUAACCAACGAUGGCCUGUUUUGUGAUUAACACCUAACUUCAUGGUGGGGAUCAAAGUGUUGGUGGGAUAAUCAAAACUCUGCCACAAGAGAGUGUUUGUCCCAUUGGGGUGAAGGUGUUGAAGCACAAAGUUGCCUGUGUCCAACAAAGUGGCCACAGUGUUGUUGAUAGGUUGAGGUGGAGAAUACAGAAUAAUUGGUUUUUUCACAGAUGCAUAUUCUAUUUUCAGCACGCCAGAUAAAUUUAAGGAUAGAACUGCAUCGCUGUCGUCGAUAGAUUGUUCUUGAUUAGCGUCCCAAACUAUAGCAUUGUCAUACUCACUCAUUAUUGCUAAGUAAGGAAAAGAAUCAACUUGACCUCCAAUCUUAAUAAAUGCUAAAAGAUAUUUGUUACUCUUAGAAUACAGUGGAUGCAAAGAGGAGUUGAUUGUAUCACCAGGGUUUAAACUGUCAUCUGCUGCAUCAACAUGGAUAGAAGAACUCCACCACAACCACAGCUGCAUGAAAGCAAGCACAAGUUUCUGAAAGAUAAGCCUCAUAGGAUGCUUCAAAUAUUGAAAGACUAAUCUGCAAGAAGAAGGUGAGACUGUGAUACUAUGUCGUAAGUUGAAAUAAUGUGUAUGUACUUUUUAAGUGCAAUUUUGUUGUUGAAAUGUUAGUGGACAAGUGACUUCUCUUUAUUACUUUCUUUGUAAAAAAUUAUCUGUUAAAGCAUCAGAAAGCAAACCUGAUCAAACCCAAAAUCUAAAGAAUUGGCAAAGUGAUAACAAAAAGAAUCAGAAGACUUAAUUGAUUGUAACUGAUUUUUUUGUUCUGCAAUUACUACUACUACUACUAAUAUUAUUAUUAUUAUUAUUAUUAGUAGUAGUAUUAUUAUUAUUAUUAUCAUUAUUAUUUAAACAUUACAAAAAGAAUUACUAAAAAAGAAUUAAUUUAUAAAAAUUAAUUAUUAUAUUUAUUAAAUUAGAUAUUAUUAAUAAAAUAUAAUUUUAAUAUAAAUAAUUAUUUUAGUCUUUAAAAUUUAUAAAACAAUUUUUAAAGUGUUAUCUAAUUAAUUAUCAAUAACUUAUAUUUAAAAUUUGGUGAUUAAUUAAAUAUUAAUUUAAAAAUAUUUAUCGUAAAAGUUAUUUUAAAUAUCAAUUUUUAUAGUUUAUAAAAUAAUAUUUUAUUUAAUUAAUGUAAUAAUUAAUUAUUUUUUAUUUUUUACAAUUAAUUUUUAUUUAAUAUUUUUUUAGUAAUAUUUAUUUAUAAUAAUUAUAAUAAAUAACAAUUUAUAAAUUAUGUUUAUUUCAGCAAUGUAAGUCUAGAUAACACAGAAAAAUUUAGAAUUUCUCAAAGUCGUGGUCUAGAUAUGACCAACCUUUUCUGUUGGAAAAAAAAAAAGAAAAGAACUUUUAGUAAAAGAAAAGAAAAGUACCACUUAUCUUUACUAAAAUAAUUGAAAAACUAUGGAUAAGUGCUUACUCGGUGUUAGAUUGUACUUUUGAAGGUACAUGUUUUAUAAAAUAAAAAAAAAGGUUCGUUUCUCUAUACAAGGUAAAAUUAUUUUAUAAAUAAAUUAAAAAUUAUAUUUUACAAAAUUAAUAAAAAUAAUUUUUACAAAUAUAUAAACUAUGUUUAAUUCAUAAACGAAUUAUUUUUAAAAAAAUUAAGAUGUUUGCACAUGAUAUCAAUAUAAAGGGAAACACAUUAUCAAUGGCCGACAAAACUUUUUGUGUUAUGGGACCUAUAUCUUUCAUUUCCUUUUGCUUUUGAGUAAUCUCUUCUCUUCAAUGAUUGAACUUUCAAAGAUAUGAGAUAUCAUUUUAGCAUGGACAAGUUUAACACUUUUUUUCUCAAAAUAGGAAAAUUAUGAGGUCACAUUUAUUAGAGGUCCAUUAUAAUUUUAAAAGAAUUAGUAUACAAAAGUAACUUUAAAUUAGAAAGAGGCUUCUGUCUAUGUUUUUUUCUACAUUGUGUUUAACUUUACUAAUUUUAGUUUUUAUCUAUCCAACAUAAAUUUUCUCACUGUUUUGUUUUUAAAUUAAACAAUUUUGAUUUCUUGUCAACAUGUAUAAUGCCACUCAACAUUAUUUCCAAGGUUAAUUAUGUGCAUUUAGUUAGGAAAGCCAUGUGGAGGGUGAGGUUUCAUAGCUGUUUUUGGGAAGCAUAUCAAGUCUAAUGUGGAUAGUGCGCUCAUAAAUGUGCAAUAUGAAAGAUAAAUUGCCUUUAUGGGAGGACCUAUCUGCUUUUAAAAGCUACAACUCGAGAUUGGGCGUGUUGUCUUUGGUGAUUUUAAUGCGGUUAGAAAUCCUUCGGAGAAGAGAGGUAUUAGAGAAUGUGGCAGUCAAAAGUGUGAGAUCCUUGGCUUCAAUGACUUCAUUGAAAGGAAUUUUUUGGUGGAAUUUCCUGUCGUGGGUAAGAAGUUUACGUGGUAUAAGGCAAAUGGGUCAACUAAAAGCAGGAUUGACAGAGUUCUUGUUUCGGUUGAGUGACUACAAAAGUGGCCUAUGGGCAAACAAUAUAUCUUACCGAGGGAGGUCUCAGAUCAUUUUGCAAUCGUGGUUAAAUCAGUGGUGAGAGACUAGGCCGAAGCCUUUCAGGUCUUUAGAUGUGUGGUUGAAGGAGCUUGGGUUCAAGUAUAUGGUGAAGAAAAAAUGGAACUCUUAUCCUGGUCAAGGAAAUAGUAUGUCUGUGUUCAUAGUUAAAAUGAAGUGUCUGAAAGUUGAUCUUAAGAGGUGGAAUAGAGAUGUGUUCGGGCACCUAGAAUUAGGAAAAAAGAAGGUUCUGAAGGAGAUUGAGCUAGAUGGUCAAGAUGAAGAUGAUGCCCUACCUGAGAGUUUGAGGAUGAGGAGAGUGGCCCUCUUUAGUCAUGUAGAAGAGAUUAAUAAAAAACUUGAGUCUCUUUUCAGGCAAAAAGCUAGAAAUAAUUAGCUUGCGUUUGGGGAUUCUAACUCCAAGUUUUAUCAUUCUGUAAUCAAAUGGAGGAGGCUUAGUAAUGAGGUUAAGGUGUUGAUAUGGGAGGUGUGUGGUGUGAGAAGCCUGAGGUUGUUCGUAGGGAGGCGUUGAAGCUUUAUGAAGCUAGAUUUUCUACUUCUCAAGAUUUUGGAGUCAGACUUGAUAAUCUUUCAACAAUUCAUAAUCUUUCCUGUAUAAUAUAUAAUCAUUAGGACAUGCAUAUAUAUAUAUAUAUAUAUAUAUAUAUAUAUAUAUAUACUCCAUACCCAUUGGACAAAGAAUCUUUUUGGCCUCAAAAUUACGAUUAGGUAGAAUAUUUUCCUCUGGAAGCAUAUCCUUCAACAACUGAAGCAAUUUCGUUAAGCUUUUAUCAGUCCAUCCAUUUAUUGGCUUCUAAUUCAUCAAUCUUAACACCGUCGACAACUGUGUGAAGUUAGUUGAUCCAGGAUACAAUGGAGUCUCUGCAUCGCUUGACAUACUUCCAUAUCCAUGCGCUUCUACAAAAGACUCAGUUUCCACAUCACCAAUUAUGUCCUCCAAUCGAUCAUCAUCUACAUCAUCAUGUACUGCAUCAUCCAUGGUGGACCCCACAUAUUCUUCAGUUACGGAAACACGUGGUAAAUUUAAUAAUUCACCAUGCCAUGUCCAAGUUGUAUAAGAUCGAAGAAACUCAUCACAUAAAAGGUGCUCCCUGAUUAUCUUAACAUCCAGUAUCCUUCCAUUCAAACAGUUAACACACAAACACUUGAUCUUUGCUCCAUCAUGACCAUUAUUAUUCGCGUUACGUUGCACAAAUUGUAUAAAUUCUUUUACUUCUCUUUCGUACUUAUCACUUAUGCGAACAAAAUUAAUCCAAUUUUGAUCCAUCCUGUAAUAGUCAUUCAUGUGUUUUCUAAUGAGUGUUCUAUCUCACACGUUUGCUAAGGGUCGAACACCCUCAGACUCAAUACCAACACGAUAAUUUUAUUCUAAACUAACAUCUAACAUAAUAUAAAUUAAUAAUAAAUAAAAAUUAUAAUAAUAUACAAAAUAAACCAUGAAAAAUUGAAUCCACUAAAACAUAUUAGGAUGAAAUGCGAAGGGAAGCUUCAUGCACCCUAUGUCACAUCAUUAAUAUUUUUAGUUUUAUCUUUCAUAGACAAUGUGAUGGAAAAGAAUAAAAUGAAAUGACGUGAAAAUAGUUAAAACAAAUUUACUAGACCGUCUACUAAUAAUAAUAAAAAAAUCAUAACGGAGAAACUUGCAAGAACAGCUAGAUGGUUAACACAAAGGAGUAAGGUUGAAAACAUAGGAAGAAAUUAACAUGGCUCAAUUAAAGUGUUAACAAACUUCAAUCUACAUCUAUGGUUAAAAAUUCCCUAUUAACGUAUAUUAUAACUCAAAGUUUCUCUCGAAAACUCUUAAUUCUUAACUAGUUGAAACUGUUAUAUAAGACUCUAUUUAUACAAAAAUAAUUAUCAUAAUUAGUUUUCAUAAAUUAAACAUAAACUAGUGAAAAAAGUCACAUGAACAAUACUUUUACAAAUGAACUCGAAAUGUUAUGAAGGAUGAGAGACAAAAAAAAUUACAGUUUGAAAUAGGGUAGACUAUCUGAUACUAUCAAAGCCUAAGAAUAGAUGCAUUGAAGAAGAUAGACGAACUAAUCAAGCAUCAGACACUCUUGAACUAUCAUAUGAAUUAUUUUAUCACAUAGUGUAGGAAUGUUAAUAAAAUUUAACUAAACCAAUAUGCGAUGAAUUGUCUCAAAAAUUUAAAAGACUACGAUGGACAUUUAAAAAAAAGUUAAUAAAUAAAAAUGAGCAUAAAAAUAAGUUAAAAAAACUAAAAAGUAAAAUCUAACUAAAAAUAUAUGUGGCAUGUUAGCAACCAUUAAUAUGACGAUUGGAAGGGAUCUUCGUUGGCUGUUCUUUUGUGGAAACAUGUUUUCAUAGAACUUUAACUUUAACUUUGCUUUUGCACGUAAAGAGAUCCAACUGCUAUUUAGCAUGAUAUCUUUCACAUUAAUUUGGUCUAAAUCAUAUAUAUUUUGUAGUUUUUCUGAUGACAAUAUUUUCCCUUUUACGUCAUAGAUUAAUUGAAUAAAACUUAUUUAUUUUUAAAAUUAAAAGCACUUGAAAAAAAUAAAGAAUAAAUAAGAAGUUAUCUAUCUACUUAUAAUUUAUAAAUCUAAAGCAAACCUGUAACCACAUCAGAUUUUUGGCUUUGUUGUAUUUUUUAUUUUCUCUUUAUUUAAUUUUAUUUAAUUAUAAUAUUUAGUAUUUUUAACUUUAGUUUAUUUUUUUUAAGUUUUUGUAUUUAUAUAUUUAUAUAUAUAAAUAUAAAUAAAAAAAAUAAAGUUAAGAAAUAAAUAAAACAAAAUUUGUGAACAAUGUUCCUAUAUUACAAUAUUAACCUCUAUCUUGUUUGCUUAGCUCAAUGCUUUAUUUUUUUUAUUGGCAAUAAAAAAUAAAUAAAAUAAAAAUAGAACCACUUCAGGGGUGGUUCAACCCUUAUACAUAAAAAAGCUAAACCUAACGCCUCCCAAAAACCAAACCAACUCUUCUAUCCCUUACAAAACCAAGCAAAAAAACCUCAAGAAACUAACCUCUCGUACACUCCAAAGGAGCCAAACACCAAUCAGAAUAAGAAAACGAAACUAACAGGGAAUUUGUUGAAACCCAAGACCAAGCCUUUACCUGUGCCAACGCAAAGAUCUCUUUCUCGUCUGCCACUCCUCUAUUAAAAAUUAUACGAUUCCUGUGACUCCAAAUCUCACUUAUCACCCCAACCCGAACUCAAUGCUUUAUGAUUUUGCUUAGUACUGAGUGAAACCAAGGUGUUUCCAGUUUGAGGCAGUGGUUAUAGGUUUGACGGUAGUUGUAUUUCAUCUCAGAAAAUCAUAUUUUGCUGCUAUGUUUAUGCUUUCCACUUUCGCCUUCCUUAUCUUCUUUCUUCCUACUUAUCAACCUCCCAUUUUUUAUAACACACUUCCUUUCUACAUCUCAUUAAUUACUCUCUACCAUUUCAUUUCCCUAAGCUUCUGUAUAUUUGAUAUACCUCAUGCAUACAUAUGAUACACUACCUUGUGAUGCACUGUUUAUUUUAAAUGCUUUUGUCCUAAUAUGAAAAACCAAUAUUAUUCAUUCUGUUUGAUAUUUCCACCCAAGCCUUUUAAGUGUGUCAUUAUCAAAUUAUCUACAUUUCACACUAUUCCAUAUACUUCUUUUAUGUUCUUUUUUCUGUUGUAACAUGUGCUUAUCAUCGUUUGAAACAUCACAAACCGGUUUUAAAGAGUUAAAUUUAAAGUCGACUCCUUAAGAUGAUAUCAAAGUCAUUUAGAGUUUAUUCUAACAAGAGUUGUUGGACCUAUCGUGACAUUCACUAUCGAAUCAUCCAUGAAUGUCUAGUCACACGCAAUUCACUAUUAGACCACCCAUAAAGAUCUAAUCUCACGCAUGAAUUGACAGUCUCAACGUCAGGGGUAUGUGUUGAAGAUGUCACAUCGAAUAAAUAUAAGGUCAAUUCAUAGUGUAUAAUUUAUGCAAACCUCAUCUUACAAACCAAUUUUGUAAAGUUGACUCAGGCUUAAAUUUCACUUCUCACGACUCAUGAAUUACAAGCAUUUCAUACCUUUUUUAUUAUAACUUUUUGUAUUAUCAAAUGCAUAAGUUACAAAAAGAAAUCCAUAAGUAAAAUUGAGCUAUCUAUGGGACUGAUGACCAAAAAUAUGUAAGUAACUCCCAUGUAUAAGGCUAUUACCUACAAAUUUAAAAAUUUGUUAAAAAUUUCAUAUAUCAUAUUAGUAGAUAAUGUCCAUAUGUACUUAAAUACAACAUUCGUAUAUAAUUACCUAUAAACUAAAUUUGUAUUGUAAAUUACCUAUAAACUAAAUCCGUAUGUAUUACCUACAUACUAAACUCGUACAUUACCCCUAUAUAAUUACAUAAGGAUUUACUAUAAGAAAACAUAUAUAGAGAGUGAGUCACUAACUCUCUGAAAAGAUAAAAAAAUUACUCUAAUUAUAUUUUUUGUGUCGUGUGUGAUAUCAUUCUUGGCAGUAGGAAUAUGGUUGGUCUAAAAGUAGAUCAUGUAGAACCAACAAUGAAAGAUGUUUUCUAGUUGUUGCAUAGUCCUGCAUAAUUGUGCAGCAGUCAAGGAGCUUAGCUCGGUCAUGAAGUUACACGGGCUAACAAGGAUCAAGAAGAAUGGGUGUUGAAUUCUUGUAAUGUUUUUAGAUGAGUAAGUUGUGAUCGUGGGGGUAGAAGAGAGGCACUUUGACACGACCUGCAUACCAAAUGAAGAGGAUGAGAAUGUUUUUGGUGAAAUUCACAGCUUAACCUUUAACUCUUUUCAAAACAUCAUCAAUUUUUUAUGCAGCUUAUGUCACUGAGAAGCUUUUCAGAAGGGAAUAGAAAUUGCUAUAGCUUGAAGACCAAAUAGGGAAGGUAUUAGAUACUUUGUGAGCGCUUUGAACAUGUUUGAUUCGGGAAAAUAUGGAGGAAUUACAGAUUUCGCAGUAUGGUGCCAUCUGUUUUUGCAAGUUUUUGGUGCAGGACAAACUGGUACUCUGCUUUAAGUUUACUGUUUAUAUGAGGAAGCUAAGCUUGUUAUCUGUUAUACUACAACUUUUGUUUUAUGAUAGAUGAUAGACUUUGGUUAUUUGCUGUACACAUGGUUGAUUUGUAUGAGAAACAUGCAUAGUGGAUAGUGGAAAGUUAUAAGAGAGUUAUUUUUUUGUCUUCUACUUAGGAACGUAAACUUGACAAUUUUUAAAAAUUUAAGGGUAGAGAGUGUUGCAAUUUCUAAAGAUACUCAUAGUGAAAACUCUAUUUAUGGAUGUAGACUUGAUUAACAAUCGAACCACUUAAAAUUAUUUUUUUGUGAUUUUUGUACUUUGUUAUACCCUAUUUCACUUUCUCAUUCAUAUUUUCUAUUUAUUUUUGUUCAUAUUAAUUUGAUUAAACGAUCUAGUGAACUCUGUUUGUACUCAACAAAAUGGUAUGGUGAGUAUGGAAUGAAGAAACUCAAUCAAGAUGAAUUUUGAAAAGUAUGAGGUUGAGAAAUUCACUGGUUUGAAUGAUUUCGGGCUAUGGUCAUUGAAGAUGCAUGCUUUUCUAGUUCAAUAGGGUUUUCUUGAGGCUUUAGAAGAAGAUUUGAAGGGGUGUUUUGAAGUGAGUUCUUAAGAAUCCUAAGGUUUUUAAUGAUAAAAUUAAUGCCAAUGGACCCAAAUUUGUUAGGGGACCAAACCUUGCUACUUGAUCUUAUUUUCUUGUAGGUACUCUUACACUACAAGAAAAUCAUGAAAUAGAAACCAAUUUUUAGAGACCAAAAUAAUUAGUUACAAUAGGAACUAAAAUAGAGACCAUUUUAGAAACUAGAAAAAAAUUGGUUUCUAAAUUAGUUUCUAUUAUUUUCUAUUAUUGUUAAAUAGUUUCUAAAUUGGUAUCUAAUUAGCAACUAAGGUUUUAACUACCAAUUAUUUAGUUUCUAAAUUUGGUAGCAAAAACCUUGGUUGCUAAUUAGAUACCAAUUUAGAAACUAUUUAACAAUAAUACAAAAUAAUAGAAACUAAUUUAGAAACCAAAUUUCUUUUUAGUUUCUAAAAUGGUCUCUAAUUUAGUUACUAUUGCAACUAAUUAUUUUGGUUUCUAUUUCAUGAUUUUCUUGUAGUGUUAAGAAUCAAGAAUCUUUGGAUUAAAGAAUCAAGCUUGAAAGGGAAAGAUCCAAACUGGACUUCUAGUUGCUUAUCUUAAUUGCACUCUGUUAUCUUGAAAGUCAAAAGGAUUUCUUAAAUCAUGUACCAUGGCUCCUUGUGAAAGUAACUUUGUCUAAAGGAUAAGAACUUAUGUCUUCUUAUUUCUUAAACUUGUAUCUCCUUUCCACUUGAAUUAUGUAAGAUCUCAUUUGAUGUCUUUAAAUGUGAAAUCUCCCAUCUAUGCAAAGGGUAUGUGAGUAUUUCUAUUCUGGUUCCUCUUUGCCAAGAAUUCUUGAUUUGUGAAAAUCAUAAUUGCUAUCAUAAAAAAAUAACCGAUUAUUUUCACGAAACAAACGAUUGAUUCCCCUCUGACAACAUUGCAUUAGAGUUGAUUUAUUUCUCUAUGCAUUGAUUCUGCUGCUGAUUCCUUUUCAAAGUUGUUAUGAGUCAAAAUUGCACAUAUCAUGGCUUUGAAUUCGCUCUAAAAGGAAGUUAUGAUGAUCAUAACUGGAAUAUAUUCCAUAUCUUCUUGGAAAAUUAAGAGCCAUUAUGACUAGUCAAAGUCUACAUGUGCUAACCAUGUGAUUUCUGGUUUUAUCUGACGUGGGUUUGUGUGCCUCUAAACAGAUUCUUUUCCUUGAGGAAAACAACCCACUAAAAGCCAAAAUAUGUAGCUUCUUUUACUUCCUAUAUAACAAUGUUUUAUGCAGUUGUUUUCCUUCACAGAAUCAACCCAUUAUUUUUUUUACUCUCAUUUCAAAACUACUGCACUCUUCUUGCUUUUGAAAUUUCCUCCUUCCUCUAAAAGGAUGAAGACUCGUGUUGAGAAGACAGGAGGACGUCUUGAAAGCUGGUUUUCUAGAGAAGAUGUCAAGAUUGAGAAAUUCCUACAUGAAAUGAGUAUGAAAGCAAUCAAUAAUCUAAAGAUCAUUUCCUCAGGUGGUUGAAAGAAAAAAAGCUCUCUGAAGUAAGAGAUAUUUUGAAAGAACAUAUGCUGAAAACGUUCCUGGAGUUGUCAUGGAAUAUCUAUCCUGACCUUGUGAGGGUUUUCUACACCAAUCUUCAAAUUGUUGGUGAUAACAUCUGCUCACAUGUGAAAGAAGUUGAUAUGGAGAUAAUUCGUGAAGUCUGGACUGCAAAUGUUGGAUUGAAAAUGAAUAAAGGGAACAUUUGAGUUGUUGAAGAAUUCAACAAAAUGCAGUUUUAUAAAAGCUAUCUUAAGAAUCCCCAAUCCAAACUGAGGAACUUUUCUAUUGGUGGCCUAAAACUAAAUGAAAGAAUAGUGGCUUUUAUUGUUUCAUGGAUAUUAACACCAAGAGGAAGAACCCAGUCUAUGCUGACUGAGGAAGAUCUUGUGCUCAUUUGCAUCAUGAACAAGAUCAAGAUCAAUUGGAUACACAUUAUUAAGGAGCACAUGCAAAAAUCUAUGAGGUUAUGUGACUAUCAUUACCCAUACGCUAUUCUUAUCUCUAAAUUUUUGCAUUAUUUUGAUGUUGAUCUUGAAGAGGAGCAAUUUGAAGUGAUGAAGUCAUCACAUGAGGUGAACAAUAGUUCCCUUAGCAAGAUGAGUUUCACCAAAAUUAAAGGGAAAUGGGUAAGCAAAGACGGUGAUCAAGCUGGCUCUUCAAGUGUAGUUUAAGAUGAUGAAGAACAACAUAUUGUUGCUGCUGUUGGAGAUGAUGCAUGUGCUAAUGCUUAUGAUACUGAAGCUGUUGGUGCCUUUAAUGUUGGUCCAAGUACAGAAAACAUGGGAGAAUGCAUUACCUCUAUGUCACCAUUUGAAAGGUUGAUGGUGAGCAUAAUGGACAACUUUGCAGAUGAACAAAGAACUCAUCAUGAGUUUUGUGUGGUAAGAUUUUAGAAUUUGGACGAACAGAUUGAGGCUGUUCAGAAUCAACUCUUUGAGCUCCAAUAUGGGAAAGAGGAUUGAAGACCUUUAAAUGUUUUCUUUCUUAUUCUGUUUCAUCUUGGUGAACAAUUUUUCUUAAUUUUGUUUUUGUCACAUGUCUCACUCUAUUUGUGAAGACAAAUAGGGGGAGAUUUAUCUAGUUUAUGUGUUAAACUCUGCUGCAUUUAUCUAGUUUAUUAUCUGGUUUAAAUUCUGCUGCUUUGAGUUGUUGUUUAUGCUCUGAUUCUGCACCUAUCUCACUGGUUUUCACAUUGAUUUUGCUGGUUUUCUUGCUAGAAACCACAUGAUGAAAACUAGUUAUUUGGUGUUGUUUAAACCUGGACUUUAUUGCUAUCUAGUACAUGCACAAUUGCUAUUUUGCAGUUACUUUUAAAUUCAAACAUAACAACACAAGAAACCAGGGAUUUGUCUUCAUCAAAUAGGGGGAGAUUGUUGGACAAAGGCUUUGAUGACUCAAAAUCUUGAAGAUUGUGUGAAGACUAGUUGCUGCUUUUGUGUAUGUUUUUUGUAGUGUUUGAAAGUGUAAUCCACUUAGAGAAUUGAUCCAAAGUUGAUUUAAUCAAGUUUCUUUUGAAAAGGGGUUUUUCUAAUGUAAGUGGAAAAACAACCUGUUGAAUUAUUGUUUUAAUUCGUUGUUUUACACUAAGUUUUUGAAAAGCAUUUGGAAAAACUUGAAAUUUGUUGACCUUUUUGUCAAACCAAUUCAAUUGGUUGUUUCCGUAAAUCAACUUAUUGUUUUUUUGAAAAUCCUUAACAGAAUUUGUUAAGUUUGUUAAAUUUGUUUUAAUUGAUUUAAAACUGAUUUGGCUCGUGAAUUAAAUGUUUUUAACAACUAAUUGAAGUUUAAAUAAUUUGUUUUACGCUCCUAGCUGUGAGAGAUUGAGAUUAUCAUUUUACAAAUCAAGUUUUCCAAGAUUAUUAAAGGCUUUGGAUUCUUUCUUCAAGAGAAAUAGGAUUGCUUUUCGUUUUUCAAUCUGUGAUUAGACCAAGUUUAUUCAUUCCUUUUCUCUUGUACAUUGUAUUUCCGUAAAGAUUGUUGGUGUGUAGAUCCAGAGGUUGUUCUGGAAUCUGUGUUGUGAUUACCAAAGGAGGGUUGUGUUCUUGAAGGGUUCAAGAUCACCUCUUUGGUGUGUGUGGUGUAAAUCAAGGUGUUUGAUUUGUUAGUGGAAUACCCGGUGGUUUAUGGAGAUUGGAUGUAGCUUUUGGUUAAGACUGAACCAGUAUAAAACAUCUUGUGUGAUUCUCCCUAUCCUUACACUCUUUAAACUGCUUUAACUUUGAUUUUACACACUGCUGGUAUAAACAACGGAUUGUUUUGCAAAAACAACCGGUUGAUUUUCUAAAAUCAACUUAAAACGGCUUUGUUUAAUUUGCUGAACUAGUUUCUCUGCUUUGAUUUCUCAUUGACUUUCAUUAUACCUUCAAAGUUUGCAAAUUUUUUUUAUAAACAAUUCACCUCCCUAUUGUUUAAGGCCUCUAAUUCUAACAUAUAUAUUUAAAACUGGAUAAAUUCUUUGCAAAAAUAACGCUAACACGUUAUGAUAAAACCAAUUCUUUAGAGCUACAGAUCUUCUCAGUUGAACCAAGUUACAGCCAAUAAUAAUAUGACACAUUAUAUAUAUAUUACAAAAGUUUUUAUAAAUUAAAUAUAGACAACUUUACCCAUUUAAGUAGUGAUAUGGUGAUUCGAUCCACUCAUAUAUACAACAACAAAUUCACUCAUUUUUUCAGUUAUCUUGAACAGUUGAGUUACUGAUUUAGUUUCUAAAACAUUUGAAGAAAAAAUUAUUGAUGAGUCAAAGAAACUGAGACAAAUAAAAGUUUUGUCGGCCAUUGGUUUAAGAAAGAUUCAAUUAUUUAUAGCUUUCUGGUAAUGCGCUACCCCUUUGGUUUGGGUUAUGACCCAAUAAAAUUGAAGUCUCAAUUUUUGAAGAUGAAUUGUUUUCCUGUUUUAACUUUUUCAAUAGUGUACUCAUUGUUAGAUACAAAGAAAGUAUUCAUUGUUUACAUAACAGAGUAUUUGAUAAUUAUUAUUGAUUUGUUUUUUACUUUAUAAGAAGCUUAUAUAUAUAAAUUUUAUAUAAUUUUAAUUAUAUUAACUUUUUAAUUUAAAACCAUUAAAAAGGAGAACUACCUCAAGACAAAUGCAUAAAAUAAAAAUUAUAUGUCUAACUUUGUUUUGUGUAACUUUGUUCUUUCAUCAAAAAGAACUAGCUUACCCUAGGAUGAUUUUAGUAGGUAGUUGGGGGCAUGGACUAAAAAUAAAACGAACUUAUGCUAUCUCUAAAAUGUAACAAACAUUUCUUAACUGAUAAUCAUAAGUCAAUUUUUUUUUAAAUCAGUACAUACAUAUUCAGUAGAAGUAAUCGUUUCUACUGUAGAAGCAGUGAUUUCUAGUGUAGAACCAGUACAAGAUUCUAAGGAAGAUAAAUUCUCAGGAUACAUAUACCUUUGAACAUAGAAUGCUGGUAUUUGAGGUAAGGACACUAUUUCACUCUUGCUUGUUAACAUUAAUAUAAUGUUACUCAUUGUGGGUCGAUCAUUUGCAUAAUGUUCAACACAUAAGAGGCCAAUAUGAAUACACCUUUGCACUUCCUCAUGAUCAAAUACCUCAUUUAGUGAUGGAUCCACUAAUUCAAAAUAUUUGUCAUCUUUCCAUAACUCCCAUACCUGUAAGUAUUUACUCAAAUUAGACACAAUAAUAGUAUCAAGCCAAGAAACAAACUUACCAAAUUUACAUACAUGUCCAACUAGAUUCAAAGGGUGAUCAUCAUCAUAAAAACUAGUGUUUUUUCUUCCUGUAACUAUUUCAAGCAACAAUACUCCAAAGCUAUACACAUCAGACUUUGUAGAAAAAACUCCUUCCAUAGCAUAUUCUGGAGACAUAUAACCACUGCAAAAAAAAAUGUUACAUGAGAAAAAAAAUGUUAUUUAUACAUUGAUAUAAAAUAAAUGUAACAUAGUUUAGCAAGCUUACUAUGUCCCAACAACUUUGUUCGUAUUUGAUAUCGAGUCUUGUUGAGUAAACAUUCUAGCCAUUCCAAAAUCUGAAAUUUUUGGAUUCAUAUUUUCAUCAAGAAGUAUGUUACUAGCUUUCAAGUCUCUAUGAAUGACUUUGAGUCUUGAGUACUUGUGAAGAUACAAUAAUCCUUGAGCAAUUCCUUGUAUUAUGCUGAAACGCUUAUUCCAAUCUAGUAAUUUGCUUCUUGUACCAUCUUCUCCAUGUUCAUAUAAUAGUGACUUGCGUUAGAAUAUAUAUUAUGCAAAUGUAAAAAAUGUAAAAAAAAUAUACAUGUUUUGAUAGUUGUGCAUGAUAAUGAAAAGAAAAAUUAUCUAUUGGAUUCUUAAUCCAAUGCUUUGCAUUAGAAGUUAUAAUUAGGACUCCCAGGUGCCAAGAGUUUUAAGACUACGACCUAUACUGGAUUUAUAGUUGGUUGGAGGUGUUGGUGGGUUUGUCACGGUCUGCAGCUGGUGCAAGAUGGAAAGGACAUAUGUGCUUGUAUGCAAGAGAGUCAAAAGGAAUGUUAAGGACAUGAUGGAGGAUUCUGUUUUGAUGUGUCUUAUAACAGACCAAUAGAGGCAGGGUGUAUGCUGGUUUAGGGUUCUUUAUGCAGGAAACAAAAACUGUAUUUUUUAUGUGGUGUUUUGGUUGUUGUGAAAAUCCCUAAUUGUGUUUUUUGAUCAACUAGUGGUCUCACAUGUGGAUGGUAGCAGUAGAGGUUGUGGUGGGGAUUCAGACAUGUUGGGGGAUGUAAGUCGAAGUUGUAAACUCCAACCAAUCUAAGUGCGAGAUGGACCCUGGCAAGUAGGAAGUUGGUUUCUGAUAAAAGUGAGCUUAAAAGGAGCAAACAGGGGGAAGCCAAAGUCCAAAAAGGAGCGAAUGGAAGAUGUUGCAUUGAAGUGAUCUGUGACAAGUGCUACAAUCGUGCCACUGCAAGUUGGGUAGAAGGAAUGUCAAUGAGGUGGUGAAGAUAACCAAUAUUUUGGUGUAUUUUUUAUGGUUUUGUAGCUGCAGUUUUCAGUGCUUAUAGCAUUCCAAUUUGAGCAUAGUGCUAGCUGGAAUAGGAUGUUUAGCUUAUGCAGCAAACAUUAUCUAUCUAUUGCUUCUAGGGUGUUUGUUCAUCUCUUUAUACUUGGAGAUUCUUAAUGUGGUUUGGUUUAUGUAAAAGGGUUGGAUACCCCUUUUGUAUCUCUCUUAAUUUAAUUUCAUUCUUUGCUGAUAAAAAAAAAACAUUGUAAACAACACAUAAUUAUAUAAUGAUCAAUAUAUUCCUCACCGAAAAGAUAGAAAUCCAAGCUUUUGUUGGGCAUAUACUCAUAAAUUAGAAUCUUCUCUUCUUCAUGAAUGCAACAACCAAGUAGUUGAACAAGAUUCAUGUGCUGAAGUUCACAUAUCAGUGUUAGUUCAUUUUUGAACUCAACGAUUCCUUGUGCAGAACUUCUUGCAAGUCUUUUUAUAGCAACCUCCUCUCCUGUUGGUAAAGUUCCCUAACAAAAUGAGAACAAAAAGGUCAUGAUGAGUUCUCCAAAAAAUAGUUACCAACCCAUAAAAUAAAAUGAGGAUUUUGGAUCACCUUAUAAACUGGUCCAAAGCCUCCCUGUCCUAACUUAUUCUCUGAUGAAAACUCAUUUGUAGCUGCCACAACCAAUGAAUAAUCCAAUACUUUUAAACCGUGUUUCUUAUUCAAAUCAUUUCCAAAAUCUUCCAUUAGAGUCAUUUCUUUCCUUUUCUUCUCUGUUCAGAUGACAAUGAAAAAUAUUAAAAUAUAGUGAUCAAAUGUUUUAUGUAACAAUGAGUUAGAAGAAUGUAACUACCUUGAAGCACAUGUUUUCGUUUCUUUAUUGCCAGGCAUAGAAUCAACGCGCAAAUUAUGAGUAAAGUAGUAGCUAUUACUGUACUUAUCCAUAUCCACCCUUUUGUACCUGCAUACAACAACUCAAAAUCUUCAAGUACCAAUUAUUCAUUUUAUGGCUUUAUAAUUUUUUUUCAAUGUCAUUGUUAAGCGUUGCAGCCAAUGAGUUCUUUCCUUUUCAAUUUGUAGAUCAAAGACUGCUAAAAAAAGAAUUUUUUUUUGGUGCAGUUCCCUAAGAUCCACACCAAAGUUGUACAAACAAAGAAAUGCUCAAGAAUUAUUCACUCUUGAUAAAGAACCAUUCGAAAUGAAACUUCUUUUUAGUCUAUAAAAAAUGAAAUGAAGUUAGCAUCAGACCUACCGUGAUGAUGAGGGAUUAUGUUCCUUUUGUUCUCAAGUACGUAAAAGUCUUCACCCGAAACAGUGCCGUCAACUAUAUAAUCUUUUGAUGAAUUCCAUUGAUAGAAUCUACAUCCACUUCCAUCUGUAUAGAGUUCUUUGAAUCCACUGCAAUUACAAUUGCUCCAGCAAGCAGCCUCACAAUCACUGUGACUAAUAUUCUCAUUUUCUUCAUAGGUUACAUUUUCAUAAUUAGGGUAAAGACUCUUUUUGGUAAAGACAUCACCAGGAAUCCUGCAUUUAGGUAUAUCCUGCCAUCUUUGGCACCCUCCAUCUGUGUUGUUGUAUCCAUAACACAGAUCAGCCCUUGCAACAUAUCCCUCUUUGUCAUCGUAAUAUAACCGUCCAGUAUCCGAUAAGGACCAGAAAUAUGUAAUGUUUUCAUUUGUAGAUGUGAAAGAGAAGCUGUCUUCAUUCCCAUUAGACACUAUGCUGUAGUUCAACACGCCUUGUGCAUCUUCUGGAAUGUGCUCAAAUCUAUUGUUCCUCAGUUUCCCACUUUUCCAACAAACUUUUCCUCGCCUCCUUAUCAUCAGUUCUUGUCCCUUUGGUUCCCAUUCAAGACUAAAGCCACCUGGAGUCGCACGCCCUUCGGUCAAGUACGAAAAAAGUAACCAACGAUGGCCUGUUUUGUGAUUAACGCCUAACUUCAUGGUGGGGAUCAAAGUGUUGGUGGGAUAAUCAAAACUCUGCCACAAGAGAGUGGUUGUCCCAUUGGAGUGAAGGUGUUGAAGAACAAAGUUGCCUGUGUCCAACAAAGUGGCCACAGUGUUGUUGAUAGGUUGAGGUGGAGAAUACAGAAUAAUUGGUUUAUUCACAGAUGGAUAUUCUAUUUUCAGCACGCCAGAGAAGUUUAAGGAUAGAACUGCAUCGUUCUGGUGGACAGAUUGUUCUUUAUUUGCGUCCCAAACUAUAGUAUUGUCAUGUGCAUUUUGUAUUGCUAAGUAAGUAAAAAAUUCACCUCCACUUAAAAGCGAAUAAAAAUCCAGAAAAUAAUUGCGACUCUUAGAAUAUAGUUGUGAAGAGGAGUUGAAUGUAUCACCGGGGUUUAAACUGUCAUCUGCUGCAUCAACAUGAAUAGAAGAACUCCACCACAACCACAGGUGCAUGAAAGCAAGCACAAGUUUCUGAAGGAUAAGCCUCAUUUGCAAGAGGGUGAGAGUGUGAUACUGUGGUAAGUUGAAAUAAUGUGCAUGUACUUUUUAAAUGCAAUUUUUGUUGUUGAAAUGUUAGUGAACAAGUGACUUAUCUUAAUUAUUUUGGUUGUAAAAAAUUACCUGUUAAAGCAUAUCAGAAAGCAAACUUCAUAAAAACUAAAAUCUGAAGUGAGGUUGUCAUAUUCAUUGUAUAAAAAUAACUAUACAAUAUUUUUUUUCCAUAAAAUAAUUAUUGUUAUUAUAUAACAUUGUAAGUCGAUCAUAAUAAUUUCUAAAGAAUUGGCGAAGUGAUAACAAAAAGAAUCAUAAGAUUUAAUCAUUGUAAAGUGAUUUAUUUGUUUUGCAAUUACUAUUAUUAUUAUUAUUUAAAUAACAUUCUGUCAAGUAAUGCUUAUUUAUCAGCAAAAAAAUAAAAUGUCACUGGUCAUAAUAAAUAAUUACAAAAAUAUUAUUAGUGAAUAAAAAUAAAUAUAUUAUUUAGUUGAGUAAGACACCAAAAAUAAUAUAAUUAUUUUAAUUUAAAAUAUUUUUUAUUAUUUUUUGUUUUCAGCCUUAAACAAAGGAAAUUAAAGAAAACACUAAAGCAUAAUAUCAAGACUAAAAGUAAUAAAAAUGUUAGAGGAAUUUAACUUAAGUGCAUAACUUUAAACAUGCAUAAGCCUUGUUAAAAUCAUUUUAAAUGUACAAUUUGAAUACACAUAAUAUUGUUAUUAUCUAUGUGUGUAUAUAGAUAUAUUAAAAUACAUAUCUAAAAAUUAAGACAAGGAAAACAUGAAAAGGUUAUAAUUAACAAGUAUAUAAAUUACAAUUUCAAUACCAGUUUAGAAUUUCUGAAACUCGUGUUCUAGAUAUGACCAACCCUUUUCUGUUGGAAAGAAAAAGAAAGGAUCUUUCAGUAAAAGAAAAGAAAAGUAUCACUUAUCUUUACUAAAAAAAUUGAAAAAAGUAUGGAUAAGUUGAAUGAAUACUCGGAGUUAGAUUGUAUUUAAGGUACAUAUUUUAUAAACACUUAUAAAAUUUAAAAAACCAUCAUUUCUUUAUACAAGGUAAGAUUACUAUAAAUAAAUUAAAAAUUAUAUUUACAAAAUUAAUAAAAAUAAUUUUUACAAAUAUUUAAAUAUGUUUAAUUCAUAAACGAAUUAACUUUUAAAAUGUUUACACAUGAUAUCAAUAUAAAGUGAAAGACAUUAACAAUGGCCAACAAAACUUCGUGUUGUGGGACCUAUAUCUUUCAUUUCCUUUUGGUUUUGAGUAAUCUCUUCUCUUCCAUUAUUGAACUUUCAAAGAUAUGGAUAUCAUUUUAGUAUGGAUAAGUUUAACACCUUUUUUUCACAAUUGGAAAAUUAUAGUUCAUAUUUAUUAGAGGUCCAUUAUAAUUUUAAAAGAAUUAGUAUAUAAAAGCAACUUACAAGAGGCUUGAAUCUAUGUUAUUUUCUAUAUUGUGUUUAAGUUUACUAAUUUUAGCUUUUAUCUAUUUAACUAUAAUUUUUUCCAAGGUUUUGUUUUUAAAUUAAACAAUUUUGAUUUAUUGUCAACACACUAGUGCAAAAUAUAAAAAUAAUGACCAUUUAUUUAAUGCGUUUUUACUGUCAGAUGCUAUCAUUUAAAAUACGGUGCUAUUUUUUAAAUUAACUUCAUUUAAGAAUGCGACUAUUAGGUAAAGUCGCAUUCUUAAAACAAAGCGCUUUGUUUAUGAAUGCGGCUUUAUCUAAUACUUGCAUUCUUAAAACAUUUUUUACCCUUACUCAGAAACGCACCACAUAUGUUUUCAUACUUUCAUUUCUCUGGCACUUGGUUUCUCUUCUAUUCUUCUACUAGGUGCUUCCUAUCUUCUUAUAUCCACAUUGCAUGCAUUUUCUUCAUGUCAUCGAUGAGUCGUUUGGAGCUCUCUACUUCUUCUUCACCAUUGGUUUUUGUAUUUUUUCCAUUUCUCUUAUUUGUUUGUUUUCUGCCAUUGCUAGUCACCACUGUUUCAUUGGCACUGUUUGAAUUUUUACUGGGCCUUGCUCCGUCGCUGCUGCAGGUCUCGCGCCGCUCUUCACCACCAUCAUUGCCUUCACGCACAAGGUUGGUGGUGUUUUAUAUUUUUUAAUGUUAUUAAUUUGUUUAUUUAUUAUAGUUUGUAUUUUUUAAAUUUAUAUUAUUUUUGUUUUUAGGUUAGAAUAGAAUUAUUAAAUUAUUAGAUGAUAGAUAUAUUUAUAUUAUUGAUAUGUGCUAUAUUGAGUAUGGGGGUGUUCGAUCCUCAGCAAAUGUGACAUAGAACACUAAUUAGAAAACACCUGAAUGACUAUUACAGAAUAUAAUGGAUCAAAAUUGGAUUAAUUUUGUUCGCAUAAGUGAUAAGUACGAAAGAUGAGUAAAAGAAUUUAUACAAUUUGCGCAACAUAACGCGAAUAAUAAUGGUCAUGAUGGAGCAAAGAUCAGGUGUGCAUGCAUUAACUCUUUGAAUGGAAGGAUAUUGGAUGUUAAGAUAGUCAGGGGGCACCUUCUAUCUGGUGGGUUUCUUCGAUCUUAUACAACUUGGACAUGGUAUGGUGAAUUAUUAAAUUUACCAUGUUAUUCCGUAACUGAAGAAUAUGUGGGGUCCACCAUGGAUGAUGCAGUACAUGAUGAUGUAGAAGAUGAUCGAUAUGAUUUGUGAUGUGGGAGCUGAGUCUUUUGCAAAAGCGCAUGGAUAUGGAAGUAUGUCAAUCGAUGCAGAGACUCCAUUGUAUCCUGGAUCAACCAACUUCACACGGUUGUCGGCGGUGUUAAGAUUGAUGAAUUUGAAGACAAUAAAUGGAUGGACUGAUAAAAGCUUCACAGAAUUGCUUUAAUUGUUGAAGGAUAUGCUUCCAGAGGGAAACACCCUACCUAAUCGUAAGAGAGGUUAGAUUGUGUGGACCAGUGUACUUAAGAUGGAUGUAUCCUGUUGAGCGGUAUAUGAAAACUUUGAAAGGUUAUAUGAAAAAUCAUUAUCGUUCAGAAGCUUCAAUGAUUGAAAGGUACAUAGCUGAAGAAAGUACGUAUUAAAUUUUGUUCAGAGUACAUGUCAAAAGCAAAUCCAAUAGGUCUUCCAACUACUUCAUGGCACCACAGGCGUUCUACAAGUAAAUGUUUACGUGGUGUGAAUAUUGUAAGCAAAUCUCAAUCAGAAGUCUUGCAAGCACAUUUGUAUAUAUUAAAUAACACAGAUGAAGUUAUACCUUACAUAAAAGCUCAUAAAGUCAUUGUGAAGGCAAAUAACCCAAGAGAAGCAGAGAAAUGGGUAUUGAUGGAACAUAAUAGAACAUUCAUGCCUUGGUUUAAAGACGAGGUGUUAAAGGAUUCAACGACAUUGAAGACCUUGACCUGGUUGGCUGCUGAAUUGAAGUUUGAUGUCAUUUCUUGUACAGCGUACGAAGAGAACAAUUGUAUAUUUUACACGAAAUCUAUGGAUGAAAAUAGUACAAUUAAAAAUUCUGGUGUUAAUCUUGAAGUCGACUCAAUGCAGUUUUCCACUUCGAAAGAUACAAAUCUUGUACUUGGAUCAAUGACAAACUAUGGUUUUACAGAAGAGAUAUGGGAGGUUGACUAUACUAAGUUUUUUGUUCUAGUUUUCAAGUGUAAAUGGGUUGAAAAUAAAAGUGGGGUUAAAAUUGAUGAAUCUAAAUUCACACCAAUGGACUUUUGAAAGAUAGGGUAUCGAGAUGAGCCAUUUAUAAUGGUUCAACAAGCAUCUCAAGUUUUUUACGUCAAAGAUCCUACGUCAAAACAUCGGUAUGUCGUUUUACACGGGAAAAAACAAGGGAAGGUCAUAGAUGAUAUUGAAAAUGGUGACCCCCGUUCAUUCACACCAAUGAUAAUUAAUAAAGAUGACAAUGUAGUUGAUGAUGUACAUGCAACCCGUAAGACCAUAAUGAAGGAAUUUACACAUGAACAGUCAUCCUACUAUGGUAAUAAAUCUAGAAAUAUUUUUGAUAAUACACAUUUAGAAUUUUAUGUAUUUGUUUUAUAUGAUCUUCUUUUGACGCAGAUAUGGAUGACGAUCAAACGCCAAUCAGACCCUAAUUUGGACGAGGCAGUAAAAGACCUACUAGAUUGAAAUGUCUCUCAUUGAGAUGUGCUGCUGGUGAGAAUACACGUGUUGACAUUUAUGCCAACACUGGAGUGGCUUCUGCUCCUAAUGUUGAGACGUUUAAUCUCUAUCUUGGAGUUAUUUCUCGUGAGAGGCUCUCCAUUUUGAUUAAUUCAUGGGAUGAUGUGUUAGAAGUCGAUCGAAACAUGCUUUGGGAGGAUGCUCAGGCAAGCUCUACAUUAUUAUCGUUAUCAUAUAAUGCUUUUUAACAUUCAUUGAUUAGUUUUAAUUUAAUGAUAUUAUGUUGUAGACAAAUUUUGAAAUCCCUAAUGUGGAACCGUGCGGUGAAGGUCACCACUGCUUCAUUGUCUGUUGUUUGGGUUUUUGUUAUGCUGUAUUUGCUCCGUCGUUGUUGUUGUUGUUGUUGCCUUAAGGUUUAGGGUUUUAAUUUAUUUUUAUUUUUAAAAAAGAAGAAUGCGACUAUUUACCAUAGGUACAUUUAUAAAUUGCAUUUACGAAUGCGGCUAAAUAGCCGCACUUGUAAAUCUUCGAUUUAAGAGUGCAUGUUGAUCAAGUGCGACUAUAUAGCCGCCCUUAUAAAUGUAAAAUAGCCGCACUCGUUUUUCCUUUCUGCACCACUGAAAACUCAACCAAACAACUUUUUUUUCAUGCUCAAACUCACUCAUAGGCUUUAAAGAUAAAGUGUAUUCUAUUAUCAAAUGUGUGAUUUUACAUGAGCAAAGGUGCUCUUUUAUAGCCUAAGAGUCAUGAAAAUUAAGCCUCUAAGGAGAGUGUGAGACUUCUUAACACAUGAUUUCCUUAGGAUUUUCUUAUUCUACCCUAAGUUAGACUUAUUCUAAGAAACAAACACCAAAACUAUGAAGAAGAUAACAAACAAGACCACACAAGUUGUAGAUUUUUUUCUCUUUGGAUUCUUCUAUAUUUUUUACAUUUUAUAAGAGUCCUAAAGUCUUAUUGACUUGAUGAAGUUCUUAAUUUAACACCUUAACCUUGCUUCUUAUAAGAACUUCUCUAAAAUCCUCUCGGAUGGUCCGUAUUCUUUUCCAUUUCUUUAACUUUCCUUGUUUCUUGUGAUCACUCCGUCUUGUGUUGAUAUAUUUUGAACCAUGAUCUCCUCAUUAUAUAGCAAUACUAUAAGUGACUCACAUAAAACAUGUAUAGAGUAAAAAAACACAUGAACAAUGUUUGUCAAUUAGAUGGUUUCACCAUAUUGUUCAAGUCUUAGUAGGCGCUAAUAAACCAAAUGGUCUACUAAGACCAUCUACCAAAUAUGGUAGAAACUGUAUAUGAAGCUCUGGAAGGUCUAACAUGAAAAGACAGUCUAGUAACCUUUAAAUAAGAUUUUAUUGAAUCAAUCUUCACCCAUUUAAAUGAUUUGAGGAACAAAUUAAAAAUAAAAGCAAAUGUUUACUAUCUUAAAAAUAUAACAAACAUUUCUUAACUUGCAAUGAAUAAGUAAAUAUCUAGUUUCUUUUUUAAUUAGUACAUAGCUCACUCAGAUUUGUUCUAUUUCCAACGAAGUAGUAAUUUCUACUGUAGAACUAGUACACAACUCUGAAGAAAAUAACUUCUCAUUAAACAUCUCUCUUUGAAUAUAAAAUGCUGGUUUUUUAGGUAAAGACACUAUUGCACUCUUGUUUGUCAACAUUGAUAUAACGUCAGACAUUGUUGGUCGAUCAUUUGCAUAUUGUUCAACACAUAGGAGACCAACAUGAAUACACCUUUGCACUUCAUCAUAAUCAAGUGACUCAUUUAAUGAUGGAUCCACUGAUUGAAAACACUUGUCAUCUAUCCAUAGUUCCCAUACCUAUAAGUGUUUUGUUCAAAUUAGACAAAAAGAAUAUUAUACCAAAAAACAAACUCAUCAAAGCUAAUUUUACAUACAUGUCCAAUUAGAUUUAUUGGGCGAUCCUCGUCAUAAAAACUAGUGUUUUUUCGUCCACUAACAAUUUCAAGUAACAAGACCCCGAAACUAUAUACAUCAGACUUUGUAGAAAAAACUCCUUCCAUAGCAUAUUCUGGAGACAUGUAACCACUGCAAGAAAUAUUACAUCAGAAAAUAAAUUUUAUUUAUAGAUUGAUAUAUAAGAUAAAUAUAACCAAGUUUAACAAGCUUACUAUGUCCCAACAACCCUGUUCGUAUUUGAUACUGAGUCUUGUUGGGUGAACAUUCUAGCCAUUCCAAAAUCUGAAAUUUUUGGAUUCAUAUUUUCAUCGAGAAGUAUAUUACUAGCUUUCAAGUCUCUAUGAAUGAUUUUGAGUCUUGAGUACUUGUGAAGAUACAAUAAUCCUUGAGCAAUUCCUUGUAUUAUGUUGAACCGCUUAUUCCAAUCUAGUAAUUUGCUUCUUGUACAAUCUUCCACAUGGUCAUAAAGUGAUGUGCGUUAGAAUGUAUGUAAAAAGAAAUAAAUGACUUUUCUUCAUGAUGUUCUAACUACUAGGAAAAUUGAGUAAUUAUAGUAAAUCUAUCAUCAACAAACAACAAUGAGAGUUGAGAAAGAUCAAUGUUGACCUAAAUAUGUGUUUGAAUAGUUGCAUAAUAAUGAAAACAAGUUUUAUCUGUUUGACAUGUUAAACAACACAUAAUCAGAAAACAUAAUUAGAUAAUGUUCAACACAUUCCUCACCGAAAAGAUAGAAAUCCAAGCUUUUGUUGGGCAUAUACUCGUAAAUUAGAAUCUUCUCUUCUUCAUGAAUGCAACAACCAAGUAGUUGAACAAGAUUCAUGUGCUGAAGUUCACAUAUAAAUGUUAGUUCGUUUUUAAACUCUACAAUUCCUUGUGUAGAACUUUUUGCAAGUCUUUUUAUAGCAACCUCCUCUCCUGUUGGCAAAGUUCCCUAAAGAAAUGAGAACAAAAAGACCAUGAGUCCAACGAAAUAAAGUUAGCAGCACAUAACAUGAGCAGUUUCGAUCACCUUAUAAACUGGUCCAAAGCCUCCUUGUCCUAACUUAUUCUCUGAUGAAAACCCAUUUGUGGCUUCCACAACCAUGGUAUAAUCGAAUACUUUUAAACCGUGUCCCUUGUUCAAAUCAUUUCCAAAAUCUUCGAUUAGAGUCAUUUCUUUCCUUUUCUUCUCUGAUGAAAAUAAGAAAUAUUAAAAUAUAGAAAAGUGAUCAAAAGAUUUUGUUUAACAAUGAGUUUGAAAUAGGUUACUACCUUGAAGCACAUGUUUUCGUUUCUUUAUUGCCAGGCAUAGAAUGGAUGCGCAUAUUAUGAGUAAAGUAGCUGCUAUUACUGUACUUAUCCAUAUCCACCUCUUUGUACCUGCUUACAACAACUCAAAAUCUUCAAGUACCAAUUAUUAAUUUUAUGGCUUUAUAAUUAUUUGCAAUGCCAUUGUUAAGCGUUGCAGCCAAUGAGUUCUUCCCUUUUCAACUUGGAGAUCAAAGACUGCUAAAAAAAGAAAUUAUUCACUCUUGAUAAAGGGUGUAUUCAAUUUAGGUAUGAUUGGAAUCUUUAGACUUUGCAGUACGCAAUUUAGGGUAUGAUUGGAAGCAUUAGAAAUGAAACUUCUUUUUUGUCUAUAAAAAAUGAAAUGAAGUUGGCAUUAGACAUACCGUGAUGAUGAGGGACUAUGUUCCCUUUGUUCUCCAGUACGUAAAUGUCUUCACCCGAAACAGUGCCGUCAACUAUAUAAUCUUUUGAUGAAAUCCAAUGAUAGAAUAUACAUCCACUUCCAUCAUUAUAGUAUUCUUUGAAUCCAUUGCAAUAACAAUUGCUCCAGCAAGCACCCUCACAAUCGCUGUAACUAAUAUUCUUAUUAUCGUCAUAAGUUACGUUUUCAUAAUUAGAGCGAAGACUCUUUUUGGUAAACACUUCAUCAGGAAUCCUGCAUUUAGGUAUAUCCUGCCAUCUUUGGCACCCUCCUUCUGUGUUGUUGUAUCCAAAACACAGAUCAGCCCUUGCAACGAAUCCACCGUUGCUAUUGUAAAGUAACUGCCCAGUACCAGACAGGAACCACUGACUUGUAUGGCUUUCAUUUGUAGAUGUGAAAGAGAAGGUGUCUUCAUCCUCAUUGGAGACUAUGCUGUACUUCAACACGCCUUGUGCAUCUUCCGGAAUGUUCUCAAAUCUAUUGUUCCUCAGUUUCCCACUUUUCCAACAAACUUUUCCUCGCCUCCUUAUCAUCAGUUCUUGUCCCCUCGGUUCCCAUUCAAGACUAAAGCCACCUCGAGUCGCUCUCGCAUAGAUCAACUGCGAAAAAAGUAACCAACGAUGGCCUGUUUUGUGAUUAACACCUAACUUCAUGGUGGGGAUCAAAGUGUCAGUGGGAUAAUCGAAACUCUGCCACAAGAGAGUUGUUGUCCCAUUGGAGUGAAGGUGAUGAAGAACAAAGUUGCCUGUGUCCAACAAAGUGGCCACAGUGUUGUUGAUAGGUUGAGGUGGAGAAUACAGAAUAAUUGAUUUUUUGACAGAUGCAUAUUCUAUUUUGAGCACGCCAGAUAGGUUUAAGGAUAGAACUGGAUCGCUC